UGUCGGAGGUUCCCACAUGCCCUGAUCUCCUCACUUUAUUUCUUGACUUUAAUGAGGAGUUGGAGAUGAUCGCGGAUGGCUUCUUCCAAUUUAUGCCUUCUCUCAAAGUUUUGAAGAUUUCAAACUGCGGGAAUUUUACUUUUCAAUUACCUUUGGGGAUGUCAAAGUUGGGUUCACUAGAACUUUUUGAUAUUUCACGCACCGAAAUACAAGAGUUACCAGAAGAGUUAAAGUUGUUGGUAAAUCUGAAAUGUUUGAAUUUGAGGUGGACAAGCAAGUUAAUUAGAAUUCCACGGCAACUAAUAUCAAAUUCUUCAGGGUUACGUGUGUUGAGAAUGUUCGCUACUGGCUAUGAAUGUUUUCAUGAAGCACCAGAAGACAGCGUUUUAUUUGGUGGGGGUGAAGUUUUAGUACAGGAAUUGCUCGGUUUGAAAUAUUUAGAGGUAUUGGAGUUGACCUUGGGAAGUUAUCAGGCUCUCCAAAUCUUUUUGAGCUCAAAUAAGUUAAAAAGUUGUAUUCGAUCUCUUUUCCUCCAGUUGGCCGGAGAUACAAAGUCGAUUAUUGAUGCUGCGGCUUUCGCAGAUCUAAACCACCUCAAUGAAUUAUAUAUUUAUGAAGGUAUUGAGUUGGAAGAAUUGAAGAUUGAUUAUACAGAGAUAGUACGAAAAAGGCGGGAACCUUUUGUUUUCCGCAGCCUUCACCGUGUUACCAUAUUUAGUUGCGGUAAAUUGAAAGAUGUGACAUUCCUCGUUUUUGCUCCAAACCUCAAGUCUCUUGAGCUAUUGCAAUGCGAUGCUAUGGAAGAAAUAAUCAGCGUCGGAGAAAUUGCUGAGACUCCUGAGAUGAUGGGACACAUAAGCCCUUUUGAAAAUCUCCAAAGUCUUCAUUUAUCGUAUUUACCAAUUUUGAGGAGCAUCUACUGGAAGCCAUUGCCUUUCACUCAUCUCAAAAAAAUGGAGGUACGUAGAUGCGAUCAGCUUAGAAGGCUUCCGCUCGAUUCCAACAGUGCAACAGAGCGUAAUGUUGUUAUUCGUGGAUACACACUCUGGUGGAACCGACUUCAAUGGGAGGAUGAAGCCACUCAAAUUGCUUUUCGUUCCUGUUUCCAACCUCGUUCCUGAGCAGUGGUCGCAAAAUUUGAUUUCUGGUGAGUGCGUUUGUCUUUUAAAAAGAAGAAUUUAAAAGAAAUUUAUUCUUGUCGUUUUCUUCACUGUUUUUAUUUGAUUUCUGGUUAGUUUCUUUCUCUCUCUCUCUCUCUUUGUCUUCUGCAAAUCACAAUUAAAUGUUGAAUUAAUGGAAUUGAUGCUCUGGUUUUUUACUUUUUGUUGUCAAAUUUUGCCCUGUUCUAUCUUCUUAGCGAUUUAAUUUCCUGUCAAAAGACGAGCGAGAAGAACAUAUAUAUGACUUAAACCAAUUGAUACUUUAUUUAUGUGCAUUGUAUGUAAUAAAUAUUAAGUAUACUUUAUUUUUGCCCUGUUCUCUGUUUUUAUUUCAGUCUCUCUCUCUCUUUCCUGUCUUCUGCAAAAUAUAAUCAAUUAUUUUCAAAAUAUCAUUGAUGAUUUUUCUGCUCUAAUGCUAUGUAAAUAGUAUGUUAAGUAAAACAUAAUCAAUUAUUUGUGUUUUAUCUCUAAUUAGAACAUCAAUCAGUUCAGUACCUCACAAAUAAUUCGCAAUAUCUACAAAAUACUAUAAUGGCUACAAAACAAAUCCUGCUUGCAAAUUGUCAAGGAUACCUAUCCGUUCGCUUGACAAGUCAUUUGAAUAAAUAUUGUUCACAUUCCUUACUCUAUCAAUUAUCCAAAGCACCAUCAAUGGUCCUCAACUUUAGUUUGAAUAGUAUACAUGCCAUCACCAUUACCAAGAAUCAAGCAUGGAAGAGUCAUUCUAUAGAGUUAAUCGAAGCAAGGAAUGAUGUAUCAGAAAAUAUUUGGUGGAGAAUUCAGCACAAACAUAUUUUGGAUGAUCAGAAUCAAUAAAACCUGGUGGUUGCGCCAUAUAAACAUCUUCGGAAAGCUGACCUUGAAGAAAGGCGUUAUUGAUAUCCAAUUGACGAAGAGGCCAGCCAUGACUAACAUCAAUACUAAGAACAAGCCGUACUGUGGUGGACUUAACAACUGGACUGAAAGUGUCAUAAUAGUCCACACCAGGCCAUUGAUUGAACCCUUUGGCAACAAGAUGAGCUUUAAACCUGUCAACAGAACCGUUGGAAUGUCUUUUAAUACAAAAAUCCAUUUGCAGCCAACAAUAUUGGAAGGGAUGGGAGGUGGAACAAGCUUCCAUGUCCCGUUACGAACAAGAGCAUCAUACUCUUCUGACAUAGCUGGACGCCAGUGAAGAUUUUUGAUAGCUUGCGUCACAGUUGUAGGUUCACAAUCAGAAGAAGGGCUAAAAUGAGCACGGAGGUUAAGUUUUUGUAACGGCUUGUGAAUCUUAUUUUUAGCUCGGGUAGUCAUAUCAUGAUGACUUGUGGGGCAAUGAUCUAGUGGAGUUUAGGAAGAUGAUUGAACAGGAAGUGAAGAAGUGCUUUGUGUAGAGGUAGAAGUAGGUUGGGAGGAUUGCUGCGGAGAUGUUACCGGUAGAGAAGAAGGAGCAGUACACGGUGGCAACUCCAGAGGGCCCACAAUAGAUGGAGUAGGUGCCGACAAUGGAGUACUAGGAAAUGAAACAGGAAGAAUUGGUGGAACACUUGCGUAAUUAGGAGUGGUAGAUGAGCUUGUAAUGAUUUGUAUGGAAAAACAAACUCUACAAAUUUAACGUGACGUGAAAUAAAAAUUCAACCCGAUUGCAUAUUUAAGAACAUCUCAAAUGAAUUGCUUACUGCUAUCAUCAUCAUUAUUGUCUAUAUAAUAAUGGAUCUUUAUUAUAUAUAUGUUUCCACUAAAAUAUAUUUAAUUAUUCUUUAUUUUUCUAUUGUUGCGUGUAAGAUUUAUUUGAGUUCUAAGUUAUAUCAAUACAAAUGUUAUCUUAUCCAUAAAAAGUUAGAUCCAACAAUUAUGAAAAUUACUAUAGAGUUGCUUUCAAUUAUUUUUUUAAAAUACCAGGAGUAAAUAAUAAUUAGUUCAAAUGGUGGAGACUAAAAUGCGUUCACCUUUAUUUUUUAUCUGUUAUUUACUUUUGUCAUUACAUUAAUGCACAUGCUAUACAUUUGAGACAUUCCAUUAAUUGCCAAUUAUGUAUGUGAGAUAGUAAUUUAAAUUAAAAAAUAAAAGUGAAAGUUAAUCCUAUGCAAUGUGAAUAAAUUUCUUUCCUUUUUCCUUUACUCUUUUUAUUUGACAAUAAAGUUUCCAUCUAUCAUCUAUCAUCUAUGUACACAAAAUUUCUGCAACAAGUACAAAACAUAAAAAUAUAUGAAUAUUAAGGGAAACACGCAGAAGUUCAUCAUUUCAAUGUUCAGUAUUACCAAUUUUGGCAUUAAGCUUGUACGAAUAUAUUCUACUUCGAAAGCAAAAUAUUAGACUCGUGAUUUUAAUUCAUUCAUUAUCUCUCAUUUUAAUCCCAAAAUAUUCAAGAGUAUCCAAGUUACCAUAAGACUUCAGAGGCUCGAGCCUUAGCCAGAGAUGGUUAAUUGAUAGACUAUGUGCCUGGGUCGAGCACUGGAAGCCUGCAAUGCAGACUGAUUGAUUUAUCAGUUUAACGUGUGCCAGGAAUGAAGAACUGGAAUAUCACCGUCAAGCAAGCACCCUGUGGAGCAAUACCAAAGAAUGCACAAUCUGGCUUUGCUAGGUGACCCUGGAGGCUUUUUGAAAAGUGCUUCAUGCUCACUUGCACAGAUUGAGCAUCCCCUCUGGAUAUUGCCCUCUCUGAUCGAGUCUGAGCACUCAAAUUUCGGUCCUCAGAUGGAGCUACAGCUUUCUCUCCAAUAACCAACAAUUUUCUAAACUCAGCACCUAGUGUGAUCAGAGUUGUUGAUAUUUGCAAAUGGAGAUCCCCAUAUUUGCAAAUGGAGACAUUUAACAAAUCACCAACAUGCUUCAUCCGGUCCACGAAAUUCUGCAACUGAUUCAAAUCUGGAACCUGAACCAGAGUCGGAGGUAUAUCUUGAGCCAUAUCUAAAGCAGUUUGAAGUUCAAGACCUUGAGCCCUUGACAAUGGUUUUGAAAUUGGAACAUCUUGGAUUACUGCAGACUUGUACCCCUUGGUUUCAAAGGUAAGGAAAGGCAUUGCUUGAGUACAAUUUGGAGGCAGCUUCUUCACCAAUUUUAUUUGGAGGCAAUUGGCAGCGGAUCCAGCUGCACCAAUUUCAGAGCAACUACUGACACUACUUCGAACAGCACACUGACGAAGUGAUAUGUCUACGGCAAAGGCAAUGCAGUCCUCAUUUUGGCUUGAGAUGCAGUAAUCAUCGAAGAGAGUUUCCUUGUGAAACUGGGCAACACAUUGAAUCCCUUCGCCACUGAGAAGGUUGUGGAGGAAGUAAGCUGUCUCUCUAGUGAGGAAGAGGUGGCAUACCUUCCCCAUUUUGUCUAGGGCAGGUAGGAAUCUUUUUUCUAAGAGAUUUACUUCAUUCUCUGUGAGAAAUGCUUUGAACUUCAUCCCUCUGUCUCUAUCCUCACUUAUCAGGAAAUAAGUUGAAAGCACUAUGAAGAGAGAGAGAGAGAGAGAGAGAAUUAAGAUAUAUAGACAAGAAAAUAAUUAGACGUUGAUCUUACAAACUAAUACUUCAAGCAGUAUCCUAGAAAGCUAAAAACUGCAAGAUGGCUUGAAAUUUGAAAAGAGCACAUGGUUUUCCUCCUUAACUUGAGAAAAUGUUUAAUAUAGUGCACCUUACAGAAGCAUUUAAGCAAUUAGAACUUUGCACAAAAACAUCAAGAAGACUAAACAAAUCAGAUGCAGUGUAUUUGUCCAAGCACAAAUUGCAUUUUGUCCUCAACUUUAAUAUUUAUUGAUGAGAAUCAAUACAGGUCCCUCAUUUGUUAUAGAAAGCUUUCUUGUAGUCUCACCAGUUAAUUCACAGGUCUAUAAUCAUCUUGCAAAGUUAAGGGCAUUUCUUUCGAUCUAAAGUCUUUGCAUCACCACCUCAUCACACGCCAAGCCAAUAUUCCAUUUACCUCUACAACAAAAAGUUUUUAAGUAAAUAAUCCUAAUGCACGCAGCCGAAUAAAAUGCAGUAAGAAUAUUCAACUUAAAAAUCUGAAAGCCAACUUGGUGAAUUGCCUCCUUAGGUGAAGUUCCAUGCUUUACUAUAGUUGACAGAACUCAGCAAAAGCUUCCAUACAACAGAUUUUGAAAAUGAUGAUGCCAAUAGAUACUCAUUCAAUCCAUUGAAACUCCAAAGGUUCAUUGUUCAUAGAAGUUUACAGAGUUUUGGUCAUCAAAUAGCUCAGACCUAAUCCCAAACAAAAAACGAGUGAAAAUUAGAUCACGAGCAGCUAAUUGUAAAUUCUAACUUAACUCUUCAUCUCCUUUGUAAACAAGAAACAAAAUGGAGACACGCAAAAUGAAUAUGGAGAAAAUUUGAACUCAAAUGAAAUGAGGGCACGAAAGCAAACAAAUGGCAUGCACAAAAAAACCAAGCCUCGAUAAAAAACUAAUUAACCAUUAAGAAAAAAAUUGGUCAGAGAAUGAACUCCAAAUUCAGGAGUCAAGCAAGAAGCUUUCAUUAUUUCAGAAGCUCCUGUACAAAUUAAUAAGUUAUGCUCUUUGGAAGCAAACCUAAAUUCCAAGAGAAACAGAACCCAAAAAAUUUGCAAUUAUACGCAAAGGAAGUGAAGCACAGGAUUCUAUCACACAUAGGAAUUGUAUAACAAGAGAUCGAUAUAUCGAAUUAGAAAACUCAAUUCGAAUUUGUGUCAAAAAUCAAAAUUAGAAGAUUUCACAUUUCGAGAGGAACAAGCAACAGAUGAAGUUCAAAAUUUCAGCCAUAACAUGCUAAAAAUGCUACACUUAACGGUUCAUUUUCAUGGAUUUUCUCGGGAAACAAACAGAAAAUUACGGUUUAGAGAGUUGACUGACCUUUUGGCUUUUGAAAUUGACCAGAUCGCGCGCCAAAUUGGAAGAGGGAAAGUGAAAGCGCGAGUUUUAAUAUGGGUAUUAGAUAAGGAAAUUUUAUUAGGUUGCGAGGGUAAAAAAGGAAAGAGAUAUCAUUAUUUUAUUAUCGAUAAUUAUUAAAUUUUUUUCCAAAAAAAAGAACAAGCAAGGAUUUUUUAUUGUCAUCACUAAGUUAAAAAAAAUUGUUUCAAAAUUACUUGAGUCAUAUCCAAUGGACCAACAAAGUAAUCGUUUUUAUUUUUAUUGAUUUUUGCAGGAAAUUAAUAACUUAAAAAUACUGAAAGCUACUGUAAAAAUUUUUAUUAUCAACCUCAUAAUUUUUUUUUUUUGGGGAAGAGAAUUCAAACUUUUUUUUUAUGAAUAUCGCUGUUUCGUUUGAGUUGGAUGUGAAUUCAAAUCCAAAUAUUCUUUGUUUUUCAAUUUUGAACUCAAUUUCUUUUUCUCAAGAAUGUUAUGCAGAAAUAAUUUUUACUAAAUCUUUUUUGAUGAAUUGUUUAAAUUAAACAAUUGGAAUAAGAAUUGUAACGAUUUAUCAUAAGCGUGCUAAUAUGAUAACUUGUUUUACGAAGGAUUAAUUAAUCAAUUAAUAUUAAAUUAUAUAUUAGUCAAUUAGAUAUGUGUUACAUUUAUCAUGUUUUGUAGGUGAUAGUACAUCAUUUCUAAAAGAAUAUAGUACGUUAAAAUAUUAUUUUAAUGAAGAAAAUUUUAUUAUUUUAUUAUUAGGUGACACAAUAAUAAAUGGAUUUCUGUAAGAAUUGAGAUUCUUGAUAUAAUUAUUACAUAAGGAGAAGUUUAGUUGGUUCAAUUUUGACGUGAUAAGAAGACAACACAGCACAGAAAACCCAAAUUGCCACUUCCACUAAUAAAAGAUACCUGUUUGAAAAGUAAUUAUAAACUAUCUUCUUUGUGUUAUUUCUCAAAACUUUUGUGGCACAAAUGUUAUUUCCAUUGACAACAGUACGAAAUACCACCCCUUUCACUUGAGCAGGAGCAAAGCAAAGGUAUGAUGAGCUAUCUCUGUAUAAUUGAAACGCCAUUACUAAACGAUUCUUGAUGAUGGGAGCCACCGUGCCAGCUUUGUCGCUGAUUUGCAUGAUUUAUUAGUUGUCCAGAUGGCGGAUUUUGUACUGUUACCUUCGUUUCAUUCUUCAGAGCCAUGUACUGUUCUAGGAUACCAGAGAAACCAAGGUGGCAUUGAAGUUGCCCUGGUGGUUAGUUUUCCGAUCAUUUUUUUAUUCAAUUAUUUAUGUUUUUAGAAAAAUGUAGGAAAUAUGUAGAAAUGUUGACAGCUAUGAUUUUGAAACUUUUGCCUAAAAUUGUUAUCAUUACUUGUUGUUUCUUAUUUAAAGAGAAAUUCUAGAAACAUGAAAUGAUUAUUCUACGCUUGUUUUAAUAUUGUGCUAUGAAGAUUACGAAGGUUUGAUUAUAUGUCACUAUCAAUUGCCUUAAUCGUUUGUCGUAAAUCAAUUAAGCAUUUUGAUGCGAAUGAUUCCCUAUUAAAAAAUUCAAGUCAGAGCUGAAUUGCAAAGUAGUUAGUCGUGCUUGCAAUUCAAAUUAAGUAUUGUAUUUUCUCCCUGAUUUGGUUGAUUCAACUAUGUGCAUUUGCUUAUGAACGUUGCAGUAUAGAAAUCGAAAUAUCUUGUCUUUUGCUAAGCCCAGAAGCAAAUUCUUUGUAUUCUACUCAUCAGUUUUCUUCAUUCUCUUUGUUGAAAUUUUAUCUAAACAGCGGUUUCUUCGAAUUUAUGCCUUCGCUUACUCUUUUAAAUUUUAUCCAAACAACGGUUUUGAAAUUGUUUUCACUACAAUACCUUAGUCUUUCAGAUGCUCCCGUCACUGAGUUGCCAGAAGAGCUAAAAGCCUUGGUAAAUCUUAAGUGUUUGAACCGGAGUACACAAAUUAUCUCUCUACAUUUCCAAAGCAAUUGAUUUGUUACUUUUCGAUGCUACAUGUUCCGCGAAUAUUCAGUUGUGGUUAUCUUGUUCAGAUACCAGAAAAUAGCGUUAUAUUUAGUGGUAAUGAAUUCUUGGUUUGGGAGUUGCUUAGUUUAAAACGUUUAAAUGUAUUAAGCAUCAUCUUGAAAAGUUUUUCUGCUGUCCAAAAACUUAUGAGCUUCCAAAAGUUUCAAAGCUGUACACAAUGCAUGGAGCUUGUAGACUGUGAUGAUCCAAAGUCAUUUGCCGUGGCAGAGUUGAAGCAUCUUGAAAAACUAGGUUUUUCAAGUUGUGGAAAUUUGGAAGAGUUAAAGUUCUGCUGUGUCGAAGUUGCAAAGGCUCGAGAAUGUUUUCGUUUGAACAGCCCUCACUGAGUUAAGAUGAAGGCUUGUCAUAAAUUGUGGGAAGCGACAGGUUAUUCAAAUAGAAAAAUUUAUGGAGAUGGAUGUUAAUCUUAAGGUUAUUCAAUUAGAAAAAUUUGAAUAAAAUUUAUGGUAAGUGCUUUUCCAUUUAUUGCAUAUUUAUAUCUAAUUUUUAUUUUCCUUUAUUGUUAAAUUUUGGUCUCUAUUUGUUGUUGUAUGGUGGCAUUCUUGUACAAUUAUUAGCUUUUCAUUUCUCUUCUCACAUUAACUGCCCUUCUGAUCAUGUAGGAUUUGCUGAUGCAAAGAGUCAUAAUUUGGGAUACAAAUGUAAGAAUUAGACAGAUGACAUGUUGUUUUGAAGCUCUCAAAGAAGGACUAAUUAUGUCAUUGAAAGCCUCCAAUUUUGUGAUUGGUUUCUUUUUAUUUUAUUUGUUGUUUUCUCUAUUUUCAGAUCACUUAAUUGUUAGUUGUUGUAAUGUAAUGUUUUAGUAUAGCAAAUUAUAUUCGGCCAAGACAGUGAUAGGAGGGCACAUUGUGCAUGCACACUAGUGGAUUUGGCAUGCCAAAUCCAAUUAGGAUGGAUAACACUUUAUAAGCAUUAGGCUUCUCUCAUACCUGAGUAAUAUAGAAUAUGUUUAUAAGUUGUGAAUCACCCUUUACAAGUGUUAGGCUUCUGCUAUACUCAGUGAUGUGAAAUAUAUUUAUAAGCACUAAACUUCUCCCAUACACUUUAUGUUAAUAAUAAUAAUAAUAAUAAUAAUAAUAAUAAUAAAAUAAUAAUAAAUAAACCCAUUUUAACAGACUCUUUUUUCUUUUUCUAUAUGAACAAAUGCAUUCUUCAAAGCAACUGUGGGGAGAAGAAGUGAGUAGAGAAGAACUGAGCCCCUGUCAUUCCCCUAAAACCUCACCAAAACCUCUCUUGUAAGCUUCUCGGAUUUUCUUUCUAUAUUUCUUAGGAACUCAUUUUUUAUUGAAUCACUUAUUUUGCAUGCUGCAUUUUUUGGUUGUCGUAUUUGUGUAUUAUCUUAUCUGGAAUGCUGUUAUGAUUGAUGGAACAAGUAAUCGAUUUUUGGUCUAAUGGAAGUUGAUUUAUUUAUUUAUUGUUGUUUUUAUUUGAAAUUAUGUACAAUUGUAUUUCAUUCAUUUCUCUCUCUUUUGCUUUUUUCCCCCCAUAUAUUUGUUAUGUAUAAUUGCGUUUCAUUUAAUAUUGAUCAUACUGUAGGUAACCAUGUGAUUGUAGAUGGGGAUUUCGAGUUUGUUGAAUAUUCAUGUAAGUGAAGUAACCGUCACAAUACUAGUGAAAUUGGGAGCUUUAUUCAUGAGUUUGUGGUUUUGAAAAGUACCACAGUUCAACUGGUGAAGGCUCCGUUUUGGGAUUCUUCUUUUUCUAGGCUGCAAUUAGGAUAUGUACAUGAUAGACAAUCUUUUGUUGGUUUAGCAUAUCUUCGCUGAUUUUGUCUUUUAUUCCCCAAUUUUAUAAUUACACACCAUGAAUGUUGGGUGAUUGUAUAGAAAAUUUGUGUUAUAACAAAAACAUUGUGAAGGAGUUUCCGUGCUAAUAGUUAGUGGCUUCUGUUUUAUUGGCAUUGAUUGGGUAGAUUACGUGUUACAGUGAUUCAAUUUGUGUUCCAAACUUUGCUUUAAUUUUCUGUUUUCCCCAACUAUUUAUGUCAAAUUUAAAUCCAGAAGCAUGUGCUGAUUUUUUCUUUUUGUAUUAAUCUGUGAAGUUUAUUUGGAAUGGAAGUAACUGGGUCGGGUCUAAUGGAUUAAAUUAUGACAUUGAGGGGAAGGCACUAAAAGGGUUUGCUUGACACAUUUGGUUCUGUGUUUACUCUGCAAGAAAUAACUUUUGCUUAUUGCAAUGCAGGGGGAAAUCCCGAUUUGGCUGGUGAAUUUCUCUGCAACAAACAGGCAAACACCUCAACAUCUUCUGUCCAUACUUCUGCUGGGGAGGCAAGGGGUAAAGAGUCUUCAAAAUCAUCAAAUAGUUACAUCUCUGAGAAUUCAUUUUAUGGAAAUGGAAAAUCUAGAGUUUCUAAUACAAAAUGGCAUCUGGUAUCAGGACGUACCGUUUCAAGUUUUCUUGGUAAAGAUUAUGUUAAACCUGCACAGCCAGCUAAUGGCACUUUUCUGGCAUCAAAGCCAUUGAAGUUGGAUCCAAGGGAGUUUCGCAUUUCUGCACUUUCAGAGAAGAAACUAAACCGACAAUCAAAGGAUGACCAUUUGCAGAAGGAUAUGGAAGAUUUUCUUUUUAAAUUGCUAGGAGAAGGGUUCCAGCUGUACAGGGAUGUGAUUCAGGAGGUUCAUGGUAACGUCUUAAAUAUAUUGAUGCCAAUUUAAUACAUAUUGUCCUUUUCAAUGUUCUUUCUUUCUUUCUCCUCUUUUUAUUAUUCUUCUUCUUCUUUUUUCUUUUCAUGUGCAUGUGAUCACUAAUUUGGUAUUAUUCUUGACUUGCAGAUAGUUGUGGAUAUGAAAUGCAAAAGGUAAGGGCUAUAUCUUCUUGAUGGAGGCCUCUGAUUUUUUAAAUCGCAUUUUCCUUUGUGAUUGAUAUAUCAUACCAAAGUCAAGUCUUAAAUACUGCUGUCAUAUGUUAAGGUUCAACUUCCAUUUUGAUUAACGUCGAUUUGCUACUGCUUCCAAAAGUGAGAAUGAGAUACUUUGGUUAAUUUCAGUAGUUGAACUCAAUGGAGUACUUUAUUUAGAUCUUCAUGGUUCAAAGGCCUGAAAAAACUUGCCGGUAUUUGCAAAAUGACAUCUGUGCUUUUAUUUAGACUUAUUAUUAAAGACAACAUUUUAUUUCAGCCAAAAAUGUUUGUUUCAAUUAAAGACUUGAACCAUUUUCAUUUAACCUGAUUGUGAUGCUUUACAUUAUGCAUGUUCCUCUCAAUCAAUAAAAGUUGAGGUCAUGAUUUUAUAUUUCUAUUUUGUAACUUGAAAUAAUUGGUCUGCCUGUUUCUGUUGCUUGAUAACAUGAAUUUUUCCUUCUGAAGUUAAUUUGAUCAAUAAAGUAAUUCUUCGGAGAGGAUAUGCCCAUUCUAUAGUCAUUUUCUUAGCUAACAUGUUUUUUCUUCACUCUUCAAAGCAUGUCUAAACUAAUUGAUCGCUCAGCGGAGACUUUGGGUGAGAAGACAAAAUUUCUUGGUAAAUCCUCUGAAAAGGUAUGCAUAAUUCCCGAGUAUUAAAUAAUCAUUGGUCAUAAUUUUUGUACACGACUCUUGUUUUGGAGAUCGUUAAAAGUGGUUGAUGAUCUAUUUUGUAAUAUCAUAGAGGGAUCAUGAAUUCCUUUUCUUUUCUGUGGCUAGGCAACACUUUCGAGCCAAGCUAAGGAAAUCUAUUUUAGGUAAUGUGAAAACUAGUUGUAGGAUGUAAUAGUUUAUUAUGCCCUGACAAUAACUUUUUGUAUAAUUGUCAGUUUAAUGAAUACAAGAGGAACUCUGUUGGCAAGUUCAUCCAUGAUAGAUGCUAAAAUUAUUUAUGCAUACCAGUUGCCUUAACUAAUUUUUCUCAACACUGGUAUUGAACAGGAAAAUGAAUAUGCAAUUUGUAUAUUGUGCCAUUGUGGAGAAUUUGGAUAUUCUUAUUUAAGUAACAAGGAGAGUAUUUGCCUCAUCUUUAAACAAUGAAUCUUUGAGAAAUGAGGAGUGGGUGAUUGACAGUGUCUUCAUGUAAAUGUUCAUUUAUUUGUAUUUUGAACUAUUAUGAGAAUCUUUGUAUGCCAAAUUAGUAAUACAAAUGUUCAGAUGAUUUUUCCUGUUGAUCAUGCGUGUGUAUCUGCACACAACCAUUGUGUACCACUUUAUUCUGAUGCACAAAUAUCUGUAGUUUAGAAGAAAAGAAAUAAUAAUCAUAUAUUAUUGCUUGGUUCAUGAUUAUUAAAUGAUUAUGGCUUUAGAAAAUCCACAAAUCCUUUGUGUUCAUAUAUGAAUGUGCGAAGUUCGCUAUAUCUUAGAUUACCUUCUUCCAAGAUAACAAGUUCAUAUAUUUUUUUUAAUCCUUUUUCAUCACAGUUGAAUUUCAAGUGUAAGUUUUGUUAUUAAUAGCUGGUUUCCUGUUAUUAUGAUUUCAUAAACAAUGAGAGGAUAUGUGCUCUACUUUUGGAUGGCCUCCACAUAAAAGAAAAUUGCAACAAUUGAAUUCUUCUGGAGGGUAUGGUAUUUAAUUUAUUUUCUCAGCUUGUUGUAAGACUAAUAUAUUUCCUUCAGUACGCACGGCAUGGUGGGAAGGGUUUUUAUUGAAAGAAUUAUGAUAUUUCUUAGACUUUGUUUUGGAAGGGGGUGGAGGGAUUUCUCAUCCAUGUAUGGUUACUUGAUUAGCUUUUGACUGUACUGUCUCCGUCGUGCAAAGGAAAAUCCAAAUACUAACGAAGGGGAAUUGCUUAGGCACCCAAAGGACAGAAAUGAAUUACGGAAGGAGGUUUUUGCUGCUUUAUUUAGUGCUGCUGAGAAAUCUGAUGAAUUUCCUGAAAUUACGGUGAAGACGGAGUGGAGGUCCAACGCAUUAGGAAAGGUGGUGAGUGAACCGCCAGAGGAAUUAGUACCAGAAUACAAGGCUAAUGUGGUGCACUGGCAGCAAGAUGACCAGACCUGUAUGUGCUCUUAUAUUAACUAUAUUGGCUGGAUUUGUGAGUGUGUUCAUUUUUGUGUGUAUACUCACUUUUGUAUUUAUGCAUAUUCACGUGUGUAGGAUUCUCGAUUUCUGCCACUUACUGGAGAACUAGUGGAAAGCUUUAUACUGAUAUAUGUGCUAUAUAACUAAUGGAAACUACAAUAUGAAUAUUUUCUCUCACCUGGAGAGCAGUGUAACUAAUAUAAUUUGUGGCUCUGGAAUACUGAAGAUUCUGCAAUAACUAAUGGAAAAUAUGAUAUGAAUAUUUUUUCUCACCUGGAGAACUUUGUAACAGAUACAUUUUGUGCUGGAAUGUCUAAAGAAUGCUUCAGUUUAUAUCAAAUAUCUUUUAGUUAGAAAAGAUAAAAUUCUCUGAAUCUGAAAGACUGAAACAUUUUGCAUAUUUCGUGAAAGGCAAGUAUCUGUAGAUACUAGCUCAUGCAUUGAGGUAAUAUCAAUGUUAAAGAAAAACAGCAAUAAUUUAUUAUACAGAAUUAGGUUCACUUGCUUUAAAUGCUGGUCUGAUCAACCAUAUCAACCUGUAAUGGUCCUGCAGAAAUAUAUAUACGGGGAGAAACUAGCUAAUUUUCCUUUCACUUAUGGGUUUGGUCUUUUUUUCCCCAAUUUUUCAGCUUUCCUUCUCCUGAAGUAUGUUAAUAAUUGCAGAUAAUGGCGAAGAGGACUGCUUCCAGGCUACCGGCAAAAACUUUGUGAAAGCUUUGGAGUUAAACAGGGAAUUCACUUACUGCUAAGGACAAUUGGUGGCGAGCUAUUUCAUUCAUUUUAUGUCCAUACAUCUAUUUAAUUAUUAAAGAUAAUGUACGCAUUUGUAAAUUUCAGAUUGUGUGUCUCUGAAAAUAACAAUAUUUAAAAUGUCUCUUAAAUUAUUAUAAAUUUUAAUUUACUCUCGAUUUAAAAUGGAACAUGUUGGUGAAAUAUUUUUUCUUCUUAAUAAAAUUGAAAUAAAUUAUGUUAGCAGUAGUUUGAAAUAUUUUAAAGAUGAUUAUUUUAUAAGGGAGUAAUAUGAAAUGAAAUUUACUUUUCAUGCGUGAAAUGUUGAAAAAGGACAAAGCAAGUGUCCCUGCUUUUAUUUUAUUUCAAAGUGGAGUCAUCUCACAUACUUUAGCUCUAUCAUUAGGAGCCGGCUAAGUUACGUUAAACGUAAUUUACGCCAGGCACAGCAAUAAUGACAAGUCCCAUGACUAGUAUUGUUGCUGUGUCUGACGUAAGUUACGUUUAACGUAACUUAGCCAAAGCCCUAUCAUUAAUAUAUAUUUAAAUUUAACACAUGCAUGUGGGUUACUUUUCCGUAAGUUCCUUAAUAUAUAUUUAACACAAAUCAUGGAAGAGAUGGGAGUAUAUCAAGAUGAUCAAAGCAUGAAACAAAAAUAUUUAAGAAGUAAAACACUGAAAAUGGAGAAGAGAUGCAAGCAAAAGAUAUUCUAAAGAAAAGCAAUCUAUCCCCUUUCGAGGGCAAACUUAUCAGGUUUAAGAAAAGUACAUGCUUUGGAUUGGUAGUUGCAGCCUUGCAGGAUAAUUGUUUUUGCCACUAUAUUAGUUGGAGGAGUUGAACCCAGUGAAGAAUGUUAUGGAAGAGCAAAUGAUAUUUCUGAUAGACUCUAUUUGAUUAUGUAGCCUGAAUAGAUGUCUUGUUGAAAGAUAUAUCAGUGCAUUAGUUCAUCCUUGUCUGUCAAUGUGUUUUUAAUGGUUUUUCCAAUUGUUUUUUUUUUUUUUGAAACUGAUUAAGCAUCAGGUUACUGCAUUACACAGAUAUAUAUACAACUGCUAUGACAGCAGGUCAUUACACUGAUAUUUACAAUCAGAUAUAUAUACAUGGGACUUAUAUUAUUACAUUUUUAUUCUAUGAAGUACAUGCCCAUCCCAAAUACCCCUCACGGAGGAGGGAUGUCUCUACUCCACUCGCAUUUCGCAAGGGAGAAAGACGUUUAUAGAAAUCUCCACACAAUUAUGUUUAAUUGGAGGAGGUUGAGUCCGUGGGGACUCGAACCAUUGCCCUCAAAGUCAUGCUUAACUUUGAGGGCAAUGGUCCACCACUGGGCUACAAGCCCAAGUGGCGGUUUUUCCAAUUGUUUAUUGCUAUAGAUUGAUUGUAAAUUGAUGUGAACUUAAUGUUGAAAUAUUUUCUCUUUAGUGGAAUGAAAGUUAAACAUUCAAGAUUAGAUUAUUCAAGGUCCACAUAGUAUGUGUUCCGUUGUGUUGUCUGUAAUUUUGCAUUUAAAUAAAUUUGAGUGCUGCCGUUUCGCUCCCACAAUCUCUCGCCUUUUUUUAAUUUUAAAAAUUAAAAUAUUAAUAAAAAACAAUAAAGAAAAUCGAAUCCUUUAUGUCAUUCCAUCUUUACAACUCUCUCUCACAAACUCCAUCUAACAGACUUCUCUCUUACUAUCUCGGUCGAACAAGACCAGUGACAAUGAUGACACGACCGCCGACGAUGAGAUGGUCAUCGCUAAAGAAUCGGGCCGUGUAUUUUACAAUUUCUUGGUUUGUGACAACAAUGGAAAACUCCUGAAAAUUUUGAAUUUGUAGUCGAGCAAAGGAAGAAGCAAGUUAUCUUCAAAGCAUUUUCCAGUAAUAGCUGAUGAAAUUUAAUACUUCAAGCUGGCCCUUUGCUGUCACAACUAGAUGCAUUUGCACUGUCAUUACAAUUUAUGGAAAUUAAAGUAAUUAAUGGUUCUAAUUAAUAGCUUCCCAAAAAACCAAUCUGCCCUUGUGAGAACCAAAGCAUUAAUUUCUUGUAAGAGCUGCAGAAGGCCAGAGAAUUUCAGAUCGUGAAAAGGAGUGUGUGAGUGAGAGAGAGAUCGUGAAAUAGUGAGAGACAAUGAGAGAGAGAGCCGCUCGACUGAGAUGGUGAGAGAGUUGCAAAAAUGGAGUAAGGAGCAGAUAAGAUUAUGUUUUCUUUAUUAUUUUUUAUUAAUAUUUUAAUUUUUUUAAUUAAAAAAGGGCGAGAGAUUUUGGGAGUGAAACGGCAGCAUGUUCCAAUAAAUUUUUACCAAAGUUUCUCUCGUGUUUCUCUCACCUUUCUAGAUACCAAGCAUUUUCCAAUAAAUUUUUACUAAAAACUUAGCAAGCCCUUGAAACUUUGGUCAAAAUUAUUGUUAUUAUUACUUUUAGAGGAAAAACUUUUAUUAAAACCUCAUUAACACAAUUCUUAAUUAAAAUUAUAAGUUUGUGUUGGUGUAAGGAUUUGCAGGAGCAAUUACUGCCUAGCCAAGUGUCAAAAGCACAAAAUAAAUCAAGAGAAAGUAGACAUGAAUUAGGAUCCAAUGAAAUUUAAAUCCCGGAGAAAAGAAAUAAUCAUGCAGAUUAUCAAGAUUUCAAUAAGGGAUAUUGAUAUCCUAUUUUGAUUAAUAAUAUCCUUUUACUGUGUUAACUCAAAAAAUAUGUAUAUUCUAAUAUUUUACAAUAAAUAGAAAUCUAAUAUUAAAAUAAAUGUGAUAUAUAUAUAUAUAUAUUAAAUAAUUUAAAUAUAAAAAAUAUUUUAAUGUUUUACAAUCUACUACACAUAUUUUAUUAAGUUAAUAUAAUUUUUCAAAUAAAUAGGGACAUAAUAUUAAAAUAAAUUUAUAAAAAUUUAAAUUAUUUUGAAUUUAAAAUAAUUUUAAUAUUAUUAAUAUGUUAGAUAUGUUUGAUUAAUUAUAAAAAUUAUUUACGCAAAUUUUUUUAAUAUUUUCAGUAGAUAUAAAUAUAUUACUUACAUUUUGAUUAUUUAACUAUUAUUAUUCUACAAUUAUUUAUAUAAUGUUUGCACUUAUUAGAAUAUAUUUAAAGUCAAAUCUUUUGCACUUCUACCUAGCUAGAAUUAUUGGACGCAGAGAAAUAAGCAUAUAUGCUUUAUAACUUUAGAAAUCGAAUUAUCUAUACAAAUUGAUUUUAGCUGGAAAAAAAGUGAGCUGAAUGAUAUAGGCGAUUAGUGUGGUAAUAUUUCAUAGAGUUAGACUAUUGAAUUUGGCACCCCUCCAAUCUUCUCAUGAUUACCUUUUUGAGUUAUUAAUACACUUCUAAUUUUUCGUUUAAUUUUUUUUAUUGUUAUACUCAAAGUAGUAUUGUGAUAUUUUAUAUUUCUUUUGCAAUCUUAUUAUUAUUUUACACAAAAUUAAAAAGUUUUCUAGGUGAUGAACUUUUGAGUUUUGAACAUUAAUCAUUGGCUUAAAUUUCAUAUAUUUUACAUUAUAAUUUGAAAUUAAGUACGAAAAUAUUUAAUAAAUUAUGAAAAGAUUAACAGAUUAUUCUAAAUUGAUACAACUUAUUUUAGUUAAAUAAAAAGUAACAGGUAAAAAAAAAAAGGAUUGGUUAUGAAAUUUGUUGGAAAAAAAUCUGUGUGUGUUUAAUUUUUAUUUGUCCUUAAUUGUAAUUUAUUUGAAGUGAGGUUUUAUAAGGAUAAUGAAGGGGUGCCAUAGUUUCACUCUAUUUCAUAUGGAGAGAGAAGUAAAAGGUACACCUGAGGUUAAUGGAAAGGACUUCGAAAGUUUCUUUUGAUUAUAAUACUGUUUGUUCUAAUUAACUUAAAAAAUUUUACUUUAAUAUUUUAUAAUAAAUUAAAUUUUAAUCUUAAAAUAAGUAUAAUCAUAUAUUUUAAAAUAAUCUUAAAAUAAAUACAAUCAUAUAUUUUAAAAUAAUCUUAAAAUAAAUACAAUCAUAUAUUUUAAAAUAAUCUUAAAAUAAAUACAAUCAUAUAUUUUAAAAUAAUCUUUAUAUUUAAAAUUUAUUUAUUUGUACAUAUUUUAUAAUAAAUAUAACACAUACUAUUAAAAUAAUAUAUAAAAAAUUAAAGUAUUUUGAAUAUUAUAUAAAAUAACUUUAAGAUUCUUAAUAUGUAAGAUAUAUUUUAUUAAUUUAAAAUUCUAUUUAAAAUUUUAUUAAUUUAAAAUUCUAUUUAACCCAAAGAUUUAUUUAAGAUAAAUUAAUAAUCAUAUUUUUUAAAUCAUUUCAAAUAUUAAAAAAUAUUUUGAUAUUACUAGUCUAUUAAAUAGAUUAAAUAUUUUUAUUAUUUUGUACUAAUCAAAAGUUACAGCUCGAAUGAUAUUAUGAGAACAGAAUUUUUAUGUCUUUAUUAAAAAUUUGGGUUUGUAUAAUUAUUUUUUCAAAUGUUAGGGGCAUAGCUGUCUUUUUACUUUUAUAUAUGUGAACCGCGGUGGUGAAAAAGUGUGAUUUAAUAUUAGUUAUUUAAAUAAUAUCUGAAUUAAAGAUGUACAGAGAAGAAAUUUCGGUGGGCAUUUUAGUCUUUUAACGAUUAUCAUGAUUAGGGAUUAGGUCCUGCUCUUGAAACGUUGGUCAGAAAAGUUCUAAAAUGCGUACAUUAUCUUUACUUUAAAAAAGUUAUUUUAUUUUAUUACAAAUUAAUGCCGACAAGAAAAAGCAAGAUCUUAAANNNNNNNNNNNNNNNNNNNNNNNNNNNNNNNNNNNNNNNNNNNNNNNNNNNNNNNNNNNNNNNNNNNNNNNNNNNNNNNNNNNNNNNNNNNNNNNNNNNNAUAAAGAUGAAGAAAAGGGCAAAAAAAUAUUAAUGAUUAACGAAAUCUCUAUCCAAAUUGAUUUUAGCAGGAAAAAAGUGAGCUAAAUGAUGUAGACGAUUAGUGGUAAUAUUUCAUAGAGUUAGACUAUUGGCACCCUUCCAAUCUUCUCACGAAUCCUCUUUUUGAGUUAUAUUUAUUUUAUUUUUAAAAUAUCUUUUUUCUCUUUUACUACACUUCUAAUUUUUCAUUUAAUUUUUUUAUUGUUAAACUCAAAGUAGUAUUGUGAUAUUUUUAAUUUCUUUUGCAAUCUUAUUAUUACUCUGCAUAUAAAUUAAAAAGUUUUUUAGGUGAUGAAUUUUUGAAUGUUAAUCAUUAGCUUAAAUUUCACAUAUUUUACAUUACAAUUUGAAAUUUAAUAUGAAAAUAUUUAAUCAAUAAGAAUUAUGAAAAGAUUAAUAAAUUAUUCUAAAUUUAUACAACUUAUUUUAGUUAGAUCAGAAGUAGCAGGUUAACAAAAGAAAGGAUUGGUUAUGAAAUUUGUUGGAAAAAAAUCUAUGUGUGUUUAAUUUUUAUUCGUUGUUAACUCUAAUUAAGUAGGUUAAAUAUUUUUGUUAUUUUUUACUUAUCAAAAAAUUUAAGAUCAAUAUUUUUAGUUACCAUUCGAAGGAUAUUAUGACAAAAACAGAAUUUUCACUUCUUUGUUAAAAAUUUGGGGGUUUGUGUAACUAUUUUUUCAAAUGUUAGGGGCAUAUCUGUCUUUUUACUCUAUAUAUAUGAACCAUGGUGGUGAAAAAGCGUGAUUUAAUGUUAUUUAUUUAAAUAAUAUCUCAAUUAAAAAUGUAAGGAGAAGAAAUUUCGGUGGGCAUUUUAGUCUUUUAACGAUUAUCAUGGUUAGGCCCUGGUCUUGAAACGUUGGUCAGAAAAGUUCUAAAAUGCGUUCAUUUGUCUUUACGCCAACAAUAAAAAGCAAGAUCUUAGUGUCCCACAAAAGCAAAUCGUAAUAUUCCGCAAUGGAGUUAGAUCCGCAAAAGCAAACAAAUUCUUUUAUUAAACUACAAAUUAAAGUGGAAUCAUUUACUAAACAACAAAUUAAAUUUGAAAUAUUUAAAUAGUCGUGCGUUAGACGAUUAGAGACUCUUAUUAAAGGCAAGUACAAAGUAGUGAAGAAUCGAAUAUUUCUAUUGUCUAGUCUUUUUUUAAAAAAAAUUUUCUUUUAUUAUUUUUCAGAAUAUGUUUUGGUGAUUACUAUUGGGUUAUUAUUCAGAGUUAUUGUUAUCUUCCGGGGCAGUUUCUGUUCAUCGAAUUCGUUAAUAAAAUUUUAAAACUCUUAUUGAAAGAAUGUUUUUCCGUUAUCUUUUUUAUAAUCUAAUUUUAAGUGUAAGAAGUAGUCAUUUUAGAAUUUGGGUCUUGAAUCGAAUUUCAAUGCAUGAAUUAAUAUUUAAAAAAAAUUUACUACAUGCAGUUUAGGUUACAAACUAUUUUUUGCAAAGUUGACUAUGAAAUUGGAGAAAUUAAGUAAUUUAUAAUGUUUGCAAAGAAAGAGACCAACAUACUUCCAAUUACACUAUAUCUCAAUUAUCAUAAUGUUAAGAUUAAACUAACUUAAAAUAAAAUUUAUUUAAAAAGUUUAUCAAACGCAGUCUAAUUUUAUUAACUUGAAGAGAUAAUAGUUAUAGAAAUUAUUAUUCUAACUUAAUUAGUAAAAGUGGUAUAAAGGUUAAGUGUGCACUAAAUCUAUUUAAAUUUUUUUCCAGUAUAACUAACAGAGGUCAUUACUAGAAUUAUAUUACUAGUCUAUUAGAUAGAAAAAAUUAUUUAUAUUGUUUUAUAUUUAUUAAAAAAAUUUAAAGUCAAUCUUUUUAAUUACUAUUUAAAGGAUAUUAUAAUUAAAAAAAUUUUAAUGUCUUCAUUAAAAAUUUAAAAUUUUAUAUGACCGUUAUCUAAAUAUUUAAAGUGUAACUGUCAUUUUCUCAUAUAUAUAUAUAAUUUCAUCAACCCCUUAUACUUUAUGUUAUUUAUAUUUUAUUCAUGAAUAUUAUAAAUUUUUUGAAAUAUAAAAUUUCGUUUAACCCUUUAUACUCAAUUUUAUUUUAUUAAAACCCUAGAGUAUGAAUUCGUCCCUAUAAUAUUAAAUUCUCAAAAUAACUUCCAUUUAAUUAAAAAAUAUAAUUAUUAUUAAAUGAAUUAUAAUUAUUAUUAUUAUGUUAUUAUAAUCAUAAAAAGCGAGAUCAUAUUCCACAAAAGCAUAAGUGACAAAACAACCAACUGGAUUCUUUUAUUAAUCAACAAAUUGUAUAGUCUUUUUCAAAUUGUUAUAAAUUGGUGGCCCCUACAAUCCUCAAUAAUUGUACCGAAAUUCACAAGUUGGUGGGCCCUACAAUUCUGUUCCGAUAAUUUAACUGUGCAAGUGCUCAUUCACAAUCUUCCAGGUCAUGCUCUUAACAAUUGUUUUUUCUUUUCUGCACGCCCUUUCAUGCUCUUAAUAAUUGAAGAGCAUACUUUUCAAAUGUGAAGCCGCAUCUAAUGUCGCUAAUUUAAUUUGGGAUUAAAUUACGGGACUAUUAUAUUGCAGUGUGCACUAAUUUUUAUGUUUAUCUAAACUCUUCAAAUUUAAAACAUAUUAUGGCAUAAAUAAGAAUGUAACAAUAACAAAAGAGUAAGAAAGUGUAGAGAAAAUCUUGCAGAAAUAUAAAUAAUAUUUAUUUUUAAAAUAAUAUUAAUAUUUAAAAUAAUUUUUAAUAUUUUAUGGUCCAUUAGAUAUAUUUUAUUAUAUUAAAAUAAAUUUUAUAAUAAAUAAAAACAUACUAUUAAAAUGAAUAUAUAUAGAAAAUUUAGAGUAUUUUAAGUAUUAUAUAAAAUAAUUUUAAUAAAAUAUGUGAGAUAUUCAUAUUUUAUUAAUUUAAGAUACCAUUUAACCUAAAGAUUUAUUUAUGAUAAAUUAAUAAUUAUAUUUUUGAAAUUACUUCAAAUAUUAAAAAAAUUAAUAUUACUAAUAUAUUAGAUAGAUUAAAUUAUAUAUAUUAUUUUUACUUAUUAAAAAAAUUUUAAAAUUAUUUUUAAUUACUAUUCAAAAAACGUAUUCAAAAAACAUAAUGAUAAAAAAAUCUUAACAUCUUUAUUAAAAAAUUAAAAACUUAUAUGAUAAAUUCUCUAAAUAUUUACGGUAUAUGUGAACCACGGUGGAUAAGCUUUAUUUAAUAUUAUUGAUUUAAAUAAUAUGUCAAUUAAAAAUGUACAGAGAAGAAAUUUCGGUGGGUAUUUUAGUCUUUUAAGCAAUUAUCAUGAUCAGAUCAGCCUUUAGCCUUCAAACGUCGGUCAGAAAAGUUUUAAAAUUAAUGCUAAAUUGUUUUUCACUUUUAACGUUGGUGGCCUUGAAAUUGCUUGUAUUUUAUUAAAAAUUAAUGCUAACAAGAAAAAGCUAGGUCAUAUUCCACAAAAUCAAAAGUGACAAAACAACCAGCUGGUUUCUUUUACUAAACUACAAAUUAAAAUAAAUUUUUUCGAUAAAUUACAAAUUAAAGUGGAUUCUUUUGAAUACAAAUGGGACAGACGAUUAGGCUCUUUUUAUUAGAGGCAAGUAAAAACUAGUCAAGAAUCGAACAGUCUUUUUCCAAUUCUUGUUUUAUUAUUUUUCAAAACUAGUUUUUGGUAAUUACAACCGGGUCAUUAAUCAUUAUUCAGAGUUAUCUUCCGGGGCAGUUUCUGUUCAUCGAAUUCGUUAAUAAAAUGUUAAAACUCUUAUUGAAAGAAUGUUUUUCCGUUAUCUUUUUUAUAAUCUAAUUUUAAGUGUAAGAAGUAGUCAUUUUAGAAUUUGGGUCUUGAAUCGAAUUUCAAUGCAUGAAUUAAUAUUUAAAAAAAAUUUACUACAUGCAGUUUAGGUUACAAACUAUUUUUUGCAAAGUUGACUAUGAAAUUGGAGAAAUUAAGUAAUUUAUAAUGUUUGCAAAGAAAGAGACCAACAUACUUCCAAUUACACUAUAUCUCAAUUAUCAUAAUGUUAAGAUUAAACUAACUUAAAAUAAAAUUUAUUUAAAAAGUUUAUCAAACGCAGUCUAAUUUUAUUAACUUGAAGAGAUAAUAGUUAUAGAAAUUAUUAUUCUAACUUAAUUAGUAAAAGUGGUAUAAAGGUUAAGUGUGCACUAAAUCUAUUUAAAUUUUUUUCCAGUAUAACUAACAGAGGUCAUUACUAGAAUUAUAUUACUAGUCUAUUAGAUAGAAAAAAUUAUUUAUAUUGUUUUAUAUUUAUUAAAAAAAUUUAAAGUCAAUCUUUUUAAUUACUAUUAAAGGAUAUUAUAAUUAAAAAAANNNNNNNNNNNNNNNNNNNNNNNNNNNNNNNNNNNNNNNNNNNNNNNNNNNNNNNNNNNNNNNNNNNNNNNNNNNNNNNNNNNNNNNNNNNNNNNNNNNNNNNNNNNNNNNNNNNNNNNNNNNNNNNNNNNNNNNNNNNNNNNNNNNNNNNNNNNNNNNNNNNNNNNNNNNNNNNNNNNNNNNNNNNNNNNNNNNNNNNNNNNNNNNNNNNNNNNNNNNNNNNNNNNNNNNNNNNNNNNNNNNNNNNNNNNNNNNNNNNNNNNNNNNNNNNNNNNNNNNNNNNNNNNNNNNNNNNNNNNNNNNNNNNNNNNNNNNNNNNNNNNNNNNNNNNNNNNNNNNNNNNNNNNNNNNNNNNNNNNNNNNNNNNNNNNNNNNNNNNNNNNNNNNNNNNNNNNNNNNNNNNNNNNNNNNNNNNNNNNNNNNNNNNNNNNNNNNNNNNNNNNNNNNNAUUGUGGGCACUCUUGUUCGUGCAUGUUUGCUAGAAGAGAUGGAAGAUGAUAAAGUAAAAAUGCAUGACGUUGUUCGUGAUAUGGCUUUAUGGAUAGCUUGUGAAAUUGAGAAGGAGAAGAGAAACUUUUUGGUUUGUGCAGGUGCUCGAUUAGAAGAGGCACCGGGUGUUAAAGAAUGGGAAAAUGUGAGAAGAUUGUCAUUGAUGCAAAACCAAAUUGAAACUGUGUCAGAGAUUCCCGCAUGCCCUCAUCUCCAUACUCUAUUUCUUGCCUCUAAUAGGAAUUUCAGGAUGAUCACGGAUGGCUUCUUUCAAUUUAUGCCUUCUCUCAAAGUUUUGAAGAUGUCACGCUGUGGGCAAUUCGAAGGUUUUCAAUUACCUGUUGGGAUGUCAGAGUUGGGUUCAUCACUAGAACUUCUUGAUAUUUCACAUACCACCAUAAGAGAGUUACCCGAAGAGUUAAAGUUGCUGGUAAAUCUGAAAUGUUUGAAUUUGAGGUGGACAGGUGCGUUAAUUAGAAUUCCACGGGGACUAAUAUCAAAAUUUUCAAGGUUACGUGUGUUGAGAAUGUUGGGUACUGGCGGGUUCAUUUUUUAUGAAGCACCAGAAGACAGCGUUUUAUUUGGUGGGGGUGAAGUUUUGAUACAGGAAUUGCUCGGUUUGAAAUAUUUAGAGGUAUUGGAGUUGACCUUGGGAAGUUAUCAUGCUCUCCAAAUUCUUUUGAGCUCAAAUAAGUUAAAAAGUUGUAUUCGAUCUCUUUACCUCUAUUUGACCGGAGAUAAAAAGUCGAUUAUUGAUGCUACGGCUUUCACAGACCUAAACCACCUCAAUGAAUUAUGGAUUGAUAAUGGAAUUGAGUUGGAAGAAUUGAAGAUUGAUUAUACGGAGAUAGUACGAAAAAGGCGGGAACCUUUUGUUUUCCACAGCCUUCACCUUGUUACGAUAUAUAGUUGCCAUAAAUUGAAAGAUUCGACAUUCCUCGCUUUUGCUCCAAACCUCAAGUCUCUUUCGCUAUUCAAAUGCCGUGCUAUGGAAGAAAUAAUCAGCGUCGGAAAAAUUGCUGAGAAUCCUGAGAUGAUGGGACAUAUAAGCCCUUUUGAAAAUCUCAAAAGUCUUGAUCUAUCAUAUUUGCCGGAGUUGAAGAGCAUUUUCUGGAAGCCAUUGCCUUUCACUCAUCUCAAAGAAAUGGGGGUAAGAGCAUGUGAUCAGCUUAGAAAGCUUCCACUCGAUUCCAACAGUGCAAAAGAGCGUAAAUUUGUAAUUCGUGGAGAAGAAGACUGGUGGAACCGACUUCAAUGGGAGGAUGAAGCCACUCAAAUUGCUUUUCGUUCCUGUUUCCAACCUGAUUCCUGAGCGGUGGUCGCAAAAUUUGAUUUCUGGUGAGUGCGUUUGUCUUUUAAAAGAAGAAUUUAAAAGAAAUUUAUUCUUGACGUUUUCUUCACUGUUUUUAUUUCAGUCUCUCUCUCUCUCUUUUUGUCUUCUGCUAAUCACAAUUAAAUGUUGAAUUAAUGGAAUUAAUGCUUCAUAAAUUUGCCGGCACUGCCAUUACUUUUUUUUUUUUUAAUACAAAUUGAUACUUUAUUUAUAUCUUCUUAGCGAUUUAAUUUCCUGUCAAUUGACGAACGAGAAGAACAUAUGACUUGAACCAAUGCUCGCAUAAACUUGCUGUAAAAAGAUAUAAUCUCACUGAAAUGCACACGCCUAGAAUGAAUAGAAUUAAAACAGGGAAAAUAUUAAGUAUAUUAGCCCUCUUUACCGAAAAUCAAAUGACAAUAAAUUUUUUGAAGUUUUGAUUUUCUAUGGUCAAUUCCACCUUUUGCAAUUUCUUCUGUUCUAACAAAAACCAAUUUCUUUGUUCAAGUAUUUUCGUUUGGGUAUUAAUAAUUCUCCACCGAAAGAGUGAACUCUUGCUCAAGGGAUCUCUAAUCAAUAGCCGGAAGGGCGCCGAGACCUGAUCGGACCUAGGCCCAAGUUUGGUCUUAAAGCCUGGGCUUGAGCCUGGCAAUUAAAUUAAAACAGUAAUUGAUUUCUUGAAUGAAUUGUCGUGUAAUUGAUUUAUGGGGGAUGACACAUCAACAUACUUGAAAAUACACUAAUCUCAGCAUCAUCCGUUAAUAACUUUUAGAUUUAUGGGCAAUCAAUAGUUAAAUUAGUUGUCAUUAAUACUAAAUAAUUUUUACUUUUUUUGUCUCUUCUAGAGGAUCUUCUAGAAAAAUGCAUCCACAAUUAAAUUUAAUACUUUACAUAAUAAAGAAAGCAUAAAUGUUAAAUUUAAGAAACUGCAUUGUAUUUCAGCUGAAGUUGACUUUAAUAUUUAGGGUAGAAAAAAAUUAAAUCCUUAAUGUGUUUAAUUUCUAUCACUUGUGUCAUUAAAAUUUUCUAGUCACCCUAACCAAUUACAUCUCAACCCACUUUUUUUUGGAUGAUUUUAUUUUUACACUAUUAUUUUCAACAUUUUUUUUUCCUUUUAACACCAACAUUAGUGUAUGUUACGUAACAUAAUCCAUAUUUGGAUAAUUUGAAAUUUGUUUGUGUUUUAUCUCAAAAUAGAGCUUCAAUCAAUUUGUACCUCAUAAAUUCACAAUAUCUGGCAUAUUGUCAAAUGUGCUUAUCCUUUUGCUUGACAUGUCAUUUUAAAAUUGUCAUUCAAUGUCAAAAAAUCACAUCAACUAAUGGCCGACUACUUUAAUUUGAAAGCAUGCGUGCGAUCGCCAAUAAUUAUAACUUAAUUGUUAUAUUGAAAUUUUUUUCUUUAUAAUUUAAGUUUAAUACUGCUACAUGUGUGGCACAUAAGUUGGAAAAUAUAACAUAAAAUUUGAAAAAUGUGUAGUUUUCGUUCCUUUUUUUUCUAAAAAAAUGGGAAAAAAGAAUGUAAUUUUGUUUAAAUUACUGUUGUCAUAACAAUUAUUAUUUUAUUGAUUAAUUGGCAGAGAAUCGUAAUGGUUUCGCAUGGUUGUUAAAACAUUGGAAAGUCCACUACAUCAUCGGUUAAUAACUUUCAGAUUUAUGGUUAAUUAAUAGCUGAGAUUUAUUAUCAUUAAUGCUAAAUAUUUUUUCUCUCUCCUGGAGGAUCAUCCACAGGCAGGUGCUUCCUGACGAUGACAAAAUUUUGGGCAGGCAGGUGCUUCCUGACUUUCACACGGUAAUUCUCAAAUUCUGAUUUCACCAUAUUUUAAUUACUGAUUAGCAUAUAUUCAAGUGCUCUCCAUUAUAAUGGAAGCCGCCGCCUCACUCGUAAUUCCAAACUUUAUCUUUUUUUCCUUUUUUAAAUUAAUGCAAGUAGCCGCUGUCCUUUCUAUUAAUUAAUUAAUUCGGCCGCCCACAUUUCUUUUCCUAAUGUCUUCUACUGUCGAGUUUAUUUUAUUUUCUCUUUAUUAUUAAAAUAUACUUAUAAUAAUAAAAAAAUAAAAAUUAACAUAUCAAAAUAUAAUUUAACAGAAAAUUAAGAUAAAAAAUUAAAAAUAAAUAAAUUAUGAGCAUAUCAAUCAAUAAAUGAAAAAUAAUAAUUUUUAUUUUUAUUAAAUAUAAAUUUUUCAGUAUUAAUCAAUUAUCUGAAUAAAUAAAAUCAUUUAAAAAUAAAUAAAUAAAUUAUUCUUAAAAAAAAAAAAAAAACUUUUUAUAACACUCACUAUGCUGGUUGUAGGGUUGACGCUUUGGGUACUGAAGCUAGUAACUUCUACAAGUAGUCUUAAGUUGACUGGCAACAACUAUAUUGGCAUUUAGAAAUAAUGUACUGCAACCAUAUUGGCAUGUUCAAAUGUUCUUAUUAUUGUAUUGGUGUGUCAAUAUUAUCUCUAACGGUUUUAUAAAUAAAAAAAUAAUCUAAAUUUAUAAUUUAACAUAAAAUAAAAUAAUUGGUAGAAAAACAAUUAUGGUUCAUUUACUUAUCAGUAAUCAGAAUAGACUGAAAUCGAAAUGAGUUGUAUUACUGUUGAUGUGUUUAUGUUGUACUCGAAUCGAAAUGAAUUAUUUUAAAUUACUAAAAUAUCCUUGGUCUGUUAUUCUAAUUAUUAUUAUUAUUUAAUAUUUAUUAUAAUAUUUUUCAUAUCAUUAAAAAAAAAUAAUAAUGAUGAUAAUAUUCUCAUUAUUGUUUGUUACAUUAUUAUUAUUCAAAAAAAUUAUUGUUAAUAACAAUAAUUACUUUAUUUCAAUAAUAAUAAUGAUAAAAUUAAUAAUAAUAAACAUGACAACAACAAUAAUUAUUUAUUAUGCCAAAAAAUAACAAUAAUAAUAAGAAUAAUAAUCAUCAUCAUUUUUUUGCCAAAGAAGCAUUAUCAUCAUCAUUUCAAAAAAAAAAUCAUCAUCAUCAUCAUCAUUUUUGUAGUGGCUACCUAUCGGCUGCUGCUUUCAUGUGAGAUUGACUUGCGACGCUUCAACGGCUAUUAUUUCUGACAAUGUCAGGUGUUGCUAUUUCAAUUUAGGAAGAAGUUGUUUCGGUGUGCUAGCGAUGGGAGAUGUUGUGGCUGCGAUUCGGGGAGCUACUAGUUUAUUGCACUAAUAACGGCAGGUGCUGUUGCUUGAUGCGAGGUCCAUGGCCAGUUGUCAGCAGUUCGACUUUGGUAUGGGUGCUGCUGGUUCGAUUUUAGGUGUUGUCCAAUUUCAUUUUCAGGAUUUUAAUUUUAUUUUUCUUUUAUAUUUUCAUUAAUUAAUCAGGGUAAAAUUGGAUUUUAGAAUUUAGAAUGAAGGUAAUUUUGUUAAUAAUGGAAAUGAGAUUCUGAUUGUCGAGAAUGAGCUUACACAAACAACUAUAAAUUAAGUGAAAACAAAACACUUUUUCUCUUUGUGUGAUUAAAACAUGAUAUGUACCAUAAAUAAAUAAGUAAAAAAUAAAUCAACACAAUCUAAAACAGUAAACAAAUUACAAGAGGCACAGAUUUUUAUGUGAAACACCGAAAAUGGAAAAAACCACAGCAUCUUAGUUUGAUAUAAUCUUCUACUAUAUUAAUGGGAUUAUAGCACAAAUUCUUUCCUAUAUAACACUAGAGAUUAACAACAUCAAGAAUCUCAAUAAUCUUGACUUACAAUACAGCCUAAUAUUUGUCUCUCUAAUAAGUAGAUAUCUAAAAUAACAGUCUCUAAUAAGUAUGUAUCUAAAAUAAUAGUCAACAAGAGGAUAAAACAAAAAUUAAGAUUAGUAGGAUGUGUAUAAGGUGAUGCUAUCAAUUUAUCUUCUAAAUUUGAGAAAAAUAGUUAAAUUCACUUUUUCGAUUGUCCGACCAAAAAUGGAAACCCUUGCCCCAAAACCAAAGGAAUCACCAUUAUGUUUUUCUCUCUCUCUCUCUCUAUCUCGUUCUUUUCUUCUUCUUUUCUUAAUGUUAGCCAUCACUUGCUUUUAUUCUUUAUAGCAUUCAAAAAGCUACUUUUAAUGGUAAAUUUCAUUUAAGUCUGCAACUUAGUGAUAAUUGCACACCAAACAAUCCUUACAUAGUGUUUUGGGCCCUCAAAUGAGAUGAAUACAACAAAUCUCCCCCUUUAAAUCAUGUGGGGGGCACCGCAAGCCCGCUAUUUGCAUAUAGCUUUUCAGCUUCUCCUUGAAUAAUGACUUUGUCAUCAUACAUAAUCCAUUCUUCGUUGUGUAAAUCUUCUCAAGCUGUAACUGUUCCUUCUCAAGCUGUAAUUAUUCCUUCUCAAGCACGUCUCGUAUCUAAUGAUACCUUACAUCAAUAUGCUUAGAUUUCGAAUAGUAUAACAGCACUCUGACUAUCGUAGUACAUAACAUAGCUGUCUUGUUUUACACCCAGCUCUUGUAGGAAAUUCUUCGUCCACAAUAUUUUUUUGCAACCUUCAAUAAUUGUAAUAUCAUUUGCUUUAGUGGUAGAAAAGGCAACUUAUUACUAAAGUUUAGAUUGCGAUGAGACUGUUCCCCCUGCAAAAGUGAGCAAACAUCCUAGUAGGAAUUUUUCGGAAUCAACAGCUCCUGCCAUAUCUACACACUUGUAACACAGGUUUGUCACCACCAAAAUAUAAACAUGCUCUGGAAAUGCAUCUAAGAUAUCUGAGAAUUUUUCACUGUUGUCCAGUGCUCUUUACCGAGGUUGAAGAGAAACCACUGACUACACUAACUGUAUAGGCAAUAUUUGGUCUUGUACAAAUUAUGGCGUACAAUAAACUGCCAACUGCUGAAGCAUAAGGAACUCCUCUCAUGGAGAAAUGGGUUUUACUCUUGAGAUUUUUGGGACCAUGAAGAAUAAAGAUGUAAUUUCUUAUACUGCCAUUGUUUCGGGAUAUAUAAAUAGAGAACAAGUCGAUAUAGCUCGACAGUGUUUUGAUCAGAUGCCAGAACGAGAUUAUGUCUUAUGGACUACCAUGAUUGAUGGGUACCUUCGAGUGAAUAGGUUCAGAGAGGCUUUGACACUUUUUCAGGAGAUACAAACUUCAAAUAUAAUGGGAGACGAGUUUACCAUUGUUAGCAUUCUUACAGCUCGUGCGAAUCUGGGGGCACUAGAACUGGGAGAAUGGAUAAAGACUUAUAUUGACAAAAACAAAGUCAAGAAUGAUAUAUUUGCGGGGAAUGCUUUGAUAGACAUGUACUGUAAAUGUACUGUAAAUGCGGAGAUGUUGAGAAAGCUCAAAAGGUAUUCAGGAAGAUGCUUUGAAAGGUCAAAUUCACAUGGACGACCAUGAUUGUUGGCCUUGCCAUCAGUGGAAAUGGUGAUAAAGCUCUUGAUAUGUUUUCCCAAAUGCUCAGGGCUUCGAUCAAACCAGAUGAGGUAGCUUAUGUUGGUGUUCUGUCUGCCCGUACUCACAAUGGUAACGAAACUUUUGUGAUAAAUAGUUGCAACUUAAGGUGAGAACUGGAGGAAGGGAAAUAGAUUGAAGUUGUUCAAUCAUCAGUAGUUGCUACUUGGUUUUAAGUUGUUCAAUCAUCGGUCGUCUCUAUUUGGUUUUCUCCAAUAUCUCAUCUUCAAUUUUGACUCAGAUUGUAUCUUACCACUAGUAAUUACAUAGACUUGCUGCCAAAGGUAAGAAUGGGAAUAAAUUAAAUAGAUUAUGUCGAAAACGAAAUAAAUUUACUAUUGUUCUGUUCAUUCUAUUUGUUUCCUACAAAAUAUUUCUCCUGCCUAAAAUUUUUUGAAUCAGUAAGUUUUUACCUUAUGGAUGAAUUGUGUUGAGAGUAAUUCCAUUUCUCAGUCUCUUUAUGUUUCAAUGAAGACGUAAAACUUGUGUUCUAGUGCACCAACGUUUAUGCUUCUUACAAUUUGACUUUAAUUUACUUUGUAAAAUUUUUGUCAAAAAGUACUAAAAAGUAGUGCACCAAACACCAACUUUAUUACAGAGAGGACUUUAGUUAAAUUUUAAGAAAACACUCAAAAGAAAGAGUUGUAAAUUAUUAUAAAAAUAUUUCACAUAAAUAAAAGCCAUCCCAUGCUGCAAAGAUCUUGCUAUAAUCACCAAAAACUAUCGGGAGCUUUUAGGGUUUCCAUAAAAAUGCCAUUUCGUUCCAUGUAUAUGAUUCUAUAGUCUCACUGGCAAGUAAACCACAGCCCAACAGCACUGACUGUCCAUGAUGAUUCACCCCAAUGAACGAAACCAGCGUUGCAUCAUAUCUUUCUGUCAAGCAUGUAAUAUCAAUUGAUUUGAGCUAUUAACAUCAUUUCCAAAUACUCCAUUGGCAUCUACAUUACCAUUUCCCUCGGCAUCAAUGAUAAGAGUUCGAAACAGUCUAAUCUUUUGAACUUCUUCAGCACCAUCUAAGAGCAAUGUUCUUUUGGUUCCAAUACCCAUGUGCUUAUGAUAUUUGUAAAAUAAUUAUUUGUAAAAUAAUUAGUUCAAUUUUGACAUAAUACGGAAUAAACACAACCUGCCAAUCUAAGUUACUAUCUUUUCCCGUCAUCAGGUACCUGUUUGAAAAAUAAUUAUAUACAAUUUUAUUUGCGUCGUCCCUCUAAAAAUUUGGGACUCAAAUGUUAUUUCUAAUUGCUAAAAGUACGAAAUUGCCCCCUUUCUCUUCAGCUAAAGGAGUGCAAAGUCAUCUGUAUAAUUGAAUCUGCAUCAUCAGUUUCUAUUGCUGGCUGGUGUUACUGCAUGCUUACAGUUGCUUGACAAAGUGAGCCAGUUUUUUGUUUAUUAAUUUUUUUUCUUGUCGAGACAGUCACAAAGUAUUACUUGUUCUAUUUGAGAAUGAUGUGAAUCAAUUUUUCAAUUAUGCAUUCUGUGGUAAUUAUUGUGAAUUUAGUUUCAUUUGUCUUGUCUCCUGCAAAUUUUGAAGAAAAUGCAGACAUACAAAUUUACAAUAUGUAUUUGCGUUAGUAUAAAAACAAUUGUUAGAUGAUUAAAGCGAUUUAUUUUUUUUUUUACAGCAUUUGAUUGUAUUAGUUAAAAUCAUUUUUUAAGGAUAAAAAUAAAUAGAAAAUUAUUCUCAUGUAGUGUGGAAAUCUUUUCUAAUUUCUUGUUGACUUGUACAUUUAUUUCAGAAUUUCCAUUCAUUAAUUCUACUGUUUUAAUCUUUGACUUAGCUACCGUAGUUGACUUUUUAUAUCAAAGGCUUAAACAGCAUGCAUUUUUGAAUUGACUGAGAAUAAUUUGGUGGACAAAUUACUAGUAAAGGACUUCAAAUGGUUGAAUUGACUGUGGGUUUUUCAUGCCCAAGUCACUCGUCACGUCGUUUCAUCGAAACAAAGUGCCCGGUGCAAAUGGUGUGAUGUAAAACACCUUUUUAAAUUGUCAUUUUUUUUCCUUUGCUUUUGCUUUAAUUUUCUAAAUGCUCAACGCCAUAAAUCCAUGUAUUCUUAAUUUUCGUUUGCUGUAUUGAUUCCCAACCCUCUAUGUCACAAGGUUUUGAAUGCCAGUAAUUAAGUUAAAUUAAACAUAUUUUAAGUCCUACUUUAAAUUAUUGAAAAAUGUAUUAUGGUUGAACUGAAUUUUAACUAAAAAAUAUAUACAAAAUAAAAGAUUAAUCAUAUCUUUUUAUGAGGAAGGUCAGUCAUCAUUCUGACCACAGACACUUAAAAUUAAUUGAGUGGAAUAUUGCAAAAUAUAUAUAAACCAUGCCAAAACUAGAUGUUUGAGUAAUGAAAACGAGAAUUCAUAUGACUCAGAAAUAUGGUCGCUUUCCUUUUUCUGAAAGGCAAAAAAAAAGGGGGAACCAAAAAGGACCAAAAUGAACAAAAAUGGAAGGCGAAGGUAAGCAGACAUGUUAUAUGUUUUACCUAAGAUGCCAAAUGCAACUCCCCAUUGAUGGUGAUCGAACAUUAUGGCCAUUUUCUUAGUAAACAAAAAAUGAAUUUUGAACACUCAACAACGAAACUUGAGCAGAAGAUCAAGCAAGGGCCUCGAUCUCAAAGAAGAUACUAUGAAACCCUACUUAAUGGUUAAAUAACUUUCAUUCAGCUUUGGACCCUAUUUCGUGAUACGGAAAGACAAACCUUUCUUGGCCGGCAGUGUCCCAGAUCUGGGCUUUGAUGAUCUAGAGGUUGAUGGUGACAGUUCUGGUUUGGAACUCGACGCCAAUGGUUUAUUUCGAUUCAAAGCAAAACUCAUUCUUGGUGAAUCUCGAAAGAAUCUGAGACUUGCCCACGGCCGAGUCACCGAUCACCACUACCUUGAAUACAUAGUCUAUUUUGUCAGGAAUCAUAUUCUCUCGUUGUUGAUGACGAUGAUCGGUGCCAUCACCACUCAUUUCUUCGUUCAUUCAUUCUAUGUCCAUUGAUCUUUUUGAAUUAUUGAAGACAAGUGGCUCACCGCUUUUAGUAUUGGUAAAAUUCAGAUAAUCUCUAUUCCGAAAUAAUAAUAUUAAAAAUAUCUCUUAAAUCAUUAUAAACUUCAAAUCUAUUUUAAUUUUAUUUAAAAGAUAAAAGAAAAAUAAGUUAUGUUGGUGAUUUUUUAUUAUCUUUUUAAUAAAAAUAGAAUAAAUUGAUGUUUAUAAUUAUUUAAAGUAUUUUAAAGAUUGCUAUUUUAUGAGAGAAUAAUAUUUCAUUUUUUUUUUCGUGUGAAAGACCGAAAAAGGACAAAGCAAGUUUCCCUAAUUUUUAUUUUAUGUGAAAUUGGUCAUCUCAUAUACUUUACCCUUCAACACUCUAAUUUUUUUGGUUAUAAUUUUAUUAUUUUUUCUCUUUUACACAUGCAUGUGAAUUACUUUUCUUUAAGCUCCUGAAUAUUUAAGACAAAUCAUGGAAGAGAUGAGAGUAUAACAAGAUGAUCAAAAUAUGUAACAAAAAAAUUUUAGAAGUGAAAAAUAUGUUAGAGUCGAAGUAAAACUCUGAGGUGAUGUUUGAUUUGAAGAAAAUGGAGGAGAGAAAAAGAGUGGAAUGGAGAGGAAAAGAGAGAAAAGGAGAGGAGAGGAGAGGAGAGUGAACUUUUUUUCUAAUGUUUGGUUUGUCACAUAAAUAUACAAAGAAAGGAAAUCUCCAAUUUUUUAUUUAGACAAUUUUAACCUUAAUAAGUAUUAAGCUUUCAAUAUUUAUCAUGUGUAUAAUUUAAAAAAAGUAAAUGGUAGAAAGCGGUUUCUGAUUCCGGCCACAUCGCCGGCAAUGGAAGGUACUUAUCAGAACAUCAAGAACCGGCCAUCAUUCCCUAGCCAUCACUGCUGUAGGAACACUGCUAAAAAGCUGCCGAUUGAACCGCGAAAAGUCGUGGAAAUCGUUGCCUCAAAUCGGUGAGUUUCGCCUUUUUCUGGUCAUGCCGUCGCCUUGGCUUUGUCCAUCAACGCUGCCACUUCCAUUUCAACCAUCCAUAGCCACUAUUAACCGCCAAAUCGCCGCCGAUCAGCGGGAUCUGUGGAAGUUAAAAAGUUUCUAAAAUUUUUUAAUUGGAUUUGAACAACAUACAACCAUUUUUUGAUCUCAAUAACGACAUAGUAAUGUUGAUCGUUGGUCGGCAAGUCGAAUGGUAGUGGCGGUGAGUAACACGCGCCAAUGACAUCGGCGGCGGCGGCGGCACUAUCCGGCUACUGUUAAAAUUAAUAUUUUAUAUUUGUAGAUUAAAUAAAUUUAUUUUAUUAAACUUUUUAAAUCAUUAUUUAAAUUUAAUUAAUUUAAAAUUAUCUAUGAUGUUGAAUUGAUAAAAUAAAUUUAUAAAUAAUAAUUAUGUGAUUACAUUAAAUAAGUUAAAAAGUUGAAGGGUUAUUUUUGGAAGAUUUAGUUUCCAACACAAAGGGAAUUUGAAUUCUUCACUUCUUAGUGUGGAAUUCAAAUUCUAUAUUGUAAUGGAUAUUAAAUUCCAAUAGAAAUUAAAUUCUUAUAAGUUAUGUCAAACCAAACAACGGAAAUAAAAAAAAAGAAUUUAAAUUACUUUCCUUUCCUCCACCCUCUCCUUCCAACCAAAUACAUCCUGAAAAUAGAGAUAUUGAUUAAUUUAGAAGAGAUGCAAGCAAAAGAUAUUCCACAAAAAAAAAAAAGCAAUAUGUCCCUUUGGAGGGCAAACUUGUCAGUUUUAAAAAAGUACAUGCUUUGGAUUGAUAGUUGUAGGAUAUUUGUUUUGUCACUAUGUGUUAGUUGGAGAAGUCAAGCCUUGUGAAGAAUGUUAUGAAAGAGCAAAGGAUAUUCCUGAUAGCUGAUAGAGCUCUAUUUGAUUAUGUAUCCAAUGAAUGGAUGUGUUGUUGGAAGAUAUUUGAGUGCAUUAGUUCAUAUGUGUCUAUCAAUGUGAUUUUAAUGAUUUUUCCACUUGUUUGUUGUAAAAGAUUAUUGUAAAUUGAAAUGAACUUGAUGUUGUAAUAUUUUCUCCUUAGUAGAAUUUCACCUAGUAUGUAUUUAGUUGUGUUGUCUAUAAUUUUGCAUUCGAAUAAGUUUCACCUAAAAUAUUAGCAUGAGUAGUGGCCCUUGAAACUUUGGUCAAAAUUAUUGUUAUUAUUUCCGACUAGAUGUAAAUUUUUUAUUAAAUCUCGCUAACACAAUUCUUAAUUAAAAGUAUAGGUUAGUGUUGGUGCAAGACUUGCCACACCAAAUUCUGCCUAACUGUCAAAAGUGCAAAAUAAAUGAAGAGAAAGCACAAAUACACGACUUGAAUAAGGAUACAACGAAACUUAAAUUCAAGAGAAAAUGAUAGCUAUAUCUCAAGAUUUGAAAAAACGGUCAUGUAGAUUUUUAAGAUUUCAAUAAGCGACUGAGAUUCAAAUAAUAUCCUUUAAUUCUAUUAACAAAAAACAAAGACUCAAAUAUUUUAUGAUAAAUAAAAAUAUAAUAUUAAAAUAUAUGUGAUAAUAUACACAUUUUAAAUACUUUCAAUCCAAAAAAAUAGUUAUGUUUUACAAUCUAUUAGACAUAUUUUAUUAAAUUAAUAUAAAUUUUCUAUAAAAUAAGAAUAUAAUAUUAAAAUAAAUUCACAAAAAUUUAAAGAAUUUUGAAUGUAAAAUAAUUUUAAUAUAUCAAUACGUGAGUUUUUUUAUUAAUAUAAAAUUUAUUUAACUUUAAGAUUUUUUAAAAUCUUUACAAUAAGUAUAACUAUAUUAUUUACAUUUAAAAAUAUUUAAAUAUUAUUAACCUACAAUUAUAUUUGCAUUUGUUAGAAAUUUUUUAAGUCAAAUAUUUUGCACUUCUAUAUUAUUAGAAUUAUUGCACAAAAAGAAAGAAACAUACACCUUUAGAAAUUGUUUUCUUUUAAAAUAGAGAUGAUGAUUAGUAUAAGGAUGAAAAAAAGGAUAAAGAAUAUUAAUGAUUAACGAAAUCUCUAUACAAAUUGAUUUUAGUAGGAAAAGAGUGAGAUGAAUGAUUUCUUUUACAGUUAGAAACAUAGAUGAUGAUUAUUAUAACGAAGAAAAAAAGAUAAAGAAUAUUAAUUAUUAAUGGAAUCUCUAUACAAAUUGAUUUUAGUAGGAAAAAAAUGAUUAAAUGAUUUAGAGUGCGUUUGGAAUUGAGAUUGGGCAGCCAUAGAUUUUAAGUUACAACACUGAAGUGUUUAGUAAAUACUAGUUGCUGCAGAUUGAAAGUUAUGUUGAUAUGAUUUUUCACAUGUAUCAUAGAAAAUAUAUUACAUCUUUAAUAUUUUUUAAAAAUUUAUAUUUGCUAUAUAUUAUUAAUUUUUUUUUAUAGUUAUAACUUUUUUUCCACAACAGUUGUAGCUUAAAAGUCACAGCACCUCAAUCUCAAACAAAUCCUUAGACAUUCAUAGUGUGUUUAUUUUUUGGAUUGGUGAAUCAAAAUUAUUGACAACGCUAACUUCAUCUUCACUGUUCGCAAUCCAACAGCAGCAAUUGUCGCCAAUAAUGAUAUCUCCAAUGAUGAUGACAAUUAUUAUUAUUAUUUUUAUUAUUAUUAUUAUUAUUAUUAUUAUUAUUAUUAAUUAAUUAAUUAAUUAAUUAAUUAAUUAAUUAAUAUAUUAAUGUUGAUAUUAUUAUUAUUAAGAUUAACAAUAAUUAUUAGUAAUACAAUUUUUUGAAUAAAAAUAAUCACAAUAAUUAAAAUACAAAUUAAUAAUUAUGACAAUAAUUAAUUAAUGUCUUUUUAGUAAUUUGUAAUAAUCUAACUCAUUUUGGUUCUGAUUAUUACAGCUUAAGUAAACAAAUUAUUAUGAUUCCUAUUCUCCUUUCCCAUUUUAACUCACUUUGAUUCCAGUCUAUUCCGAUUUCUAUUUAAUAAAUGCACCAUUAGUGCUAAAGUAAUAUUUCAUACAUAGAAAAAUAAAAACUACGCCUAAGGUUAAGGGAAAAGACUUCAAAAUUCUCUUUUGAUCAUAAUACAUUUUGUCCUAAUUAACUUAAAGAUUUUGAAUCUAAUAUUUUAUAAUAAAUAAAAAUAUAUUCCUAAAAUAAAUAUAAUAUCAAUAUUUAAAAUAUGUUUUAAUAUUUUACAAUCUAUCAUACACAUUUUAUUAUAUUAAAGUAGAUUUAUAAUAAAUAUAUAAAAAUUUAGAAUAUUUAGAAUAUUAUAUAAAAUAAUUUUAAUAUAAUGCGUGAUAUAUAUUUUAUUAAUUUAAAAUGUCAUUUUACCUAAAAAAUAUGAUAAAUUAAUAAUUACAUAUUUGAAGUUAUUUCAAAUAUUAAAAAAAUUUAAUAUUAUUAAUCUUUUAGAUAGAUUAAAUUAUUUUUUAUAAGAGAGAUUAAAUUAUUUUAAAAUGCCUUAAUUGUUUUUACUUUUAACGUUACGGGCCUUUCUUUUAUUUUAUUGCAAAUUAAUGCUAACUAGAAAAACAAAAACAAAAGUGACAAACACAACCAGCUGGAAUCUUUUAUAAAACUACAAAUUAAAAUGGAUUUUUUUUUUUUGUUGAUAAAUUACACAUGAAAGUGGAUUCUUUUGAAUAUAAGUGGGGUAGGCUCUUUUAUUUUUUUUUUAAUACCGUAUAACAGGACUGUAGACUCUUUUAUUAAGCACAAAUAUAGAGUUGUCGAGACAAUUAGGGUCUUUUAUUAAACUACAAAUUGUAUAGUCUUUUUUAAAUUGUUCAGAUAUUUAUAAAUUGGUGGCCCCUACAAUCCUCAAUAAUUGUACCGAUAUUCACAAGCUGGUGGCCCCUACAAUCCUUAAUAAUUGUUUUUUUUUUUUUCUGCAUUCCCUUUCAUGCUCUUAAUAAUUAAAGAGCAUACUUUUCAAAUGUGGAGCCGCGGCUAAUGUCGCUAAUUUAAUUUGGGAUUAAAUUAGGGGACUAUUAUAUUGCAGUGUGCACUAAUUUUUAUGUUUAUCUAAACUCCUUAAAUUUAAGAUAUAUUAUGGCAUAAAUAAGAAUAUAACAAUAGCAAAAGAGUUAGAAAGUGUAGAGAAGAUCUUGCAGAAAUAUAAAUAAUAUUUAUUUUAAAAUAAUAUCAAUAUUUAAAAUAAUUUUUAUUAUUUUAUGAUCCAUUAGAUAUAUUUUAUUAUAUUAAAGUAAAUUUUAUAAUAAAUAAAAACAUACUAUUAAAAUGAAUAUAUAGAAAAUUUAGAGUAUUUUAAGUAUUAUAUAAAAUAAUUUUAAUAAAAUAUGUGAGAUAUUCAUAUUUUAUUAAUUUAAAAUACCAUUUAACCUAAAGAUUUAUUUAUGAUAAAUUAAUAAUUAUAUUUUUGAAAUUACUUCAAAUAUUAAAAAAAUUAAUAUUACUAAUCUAUUAGAUAGAUUAAAUUAUAUAUAUUAUUUUCUAUUUAUUAAAAAAUUUCAAAUUAUUUUUAAUUACUAUUCAAAAAAUAUGAUGAUAAAAAAAUCUUAACAUCUUUAUUAAAAAAUUAAAAACUUACAUGAUCAAUUCUCUAAAUAUUUAGGGUAUAUGUGAACCACGGUGGACAGAGGUCAUUACUAAAAUUUCUCUUCCACAGGCAAUUACAGCAGCUCCAGUUUAUCAAACUCAACCAAUUUUCUUUCUUAACAAAAUUCCAAAGAUGUGUAGCUUUUUUCAGAUCACAUGCGAUGGUGCUUUUUUCAAUCGUUGCUUGGAUUGCUUUCUUGGAAAAGCAGCAUACAUACGUAACCUCCAAGAUAAUCUUGAUGCCUUGGACACUGAACUGGGAAGACUAAUCGCAGCAAAGAACGAUGUGAUGAUUAGGGUUGUCAAUGCUGAACGGCAAUAAAUGAGAAGGCUGGACGGAGUGCAAGUGUGGGUUUCGAGUGUGGAUGCUGUUAAAACUGGAGCCGAUGAACUUAUCACAGACGGCUCUGAAGAAAUUGGCAAAUUAUGUGUUGGAGGCUACUGUUCCAAGAACUGCAGGUCAAGCUACAAAUUCGGAAAACAAGUGGCUAGAAAGCUACGAGAUGUGGAGACUUUAAUCGCCGAAGGAGUUUUUGAGGCGGUGGCUACUGAGGUGGUGCCUGAGAGAGCUCCAGAGCCUGUAGCAGAUGAAAGACCUACCGAGCGAAAAGUAGUAGGCUUGCAAUCACAACUUGAACAAGUCUGGACGUGUCUUGUGGAAGAAUCAGCGGGAAUCAUUGGCCUAUACGGUAUGGGCGGUGUUGGUAAAACCACACUAUUGACCCAUAUCAACAAUAAAUUUCUCGAGAGUCCAACCAACUUUGAUUGUGUGAUUUGGGUAGUAGUUUCAAAAGACCUGCGACUUGAAAAACUUCAAGAAGAUAUUGGGAAAAAGAUAGGUUUGGUUGGUGAUUCAUGGAAGAGUAGAAGUGCAGAGGAGAAAGCUCUCGACAUCUUCCGGAGUCUAAGAGGGAAGAGAAUUGUAUUGUUGUUAGAUGAUAUAUGGGAGCGGGUUGAUUUAACAAAAGUGGGCGUUCCACUUCCUGGACCACAAAAUACUACCUCAAAAGUCGUAUUCACAACNNNNNNNNNNNNNNNNNNNNNNNNNNNNNNNNNNNNNNNNNNNNNNNNNNNNNNNNNNNNNNNNNNNNNNNNNNNNNNNNNNNNNNNNNNNNNNNNNNNNNNNNNNNNNNNNNNNNNNNNNNNNNNNNNNNNNNNNNNNNNNNNNNNNNNNNNNNNNNNNNNNNNNNNNNNNNNNNNNNNNNNNNNNNNNNNNNNNNNNNNNNNNNNNNNNNNNNNNNNNNNNNNNNNNNNNNNNNNNNNNNNNNNNNNNNNNNNNNNNNNNNNNNNNNNNNNNNNNNNNNNNNNNNNNNNNNNNNNNNNNNNNNNNNNNNNNNNNNNNNNNNNNNNNNNNNNNNNNNNNNNNNNNNNNNNNNNNNNNNNNNNNNNNNNNNNNNNNNNNNNNNNNNNNNNNNNNNNNNNNNNNNNNNNNNNNNNNNNNNNNNNNNNNNNNNNNNNNNNNNNNNNNNNNNNNNNNNNNNNNNNNNCAGGAAGUCCUAGUGCGUGCUAUCAGAAAAGAUGCUGGGAACUGUUUCGCGAAAAUGUUGGGGAAGAAACUCUUGAGAGUGAUCAUGAGAUCGUUGAGCUAGCCCAAACUGUGGCCAAAGAGUGUGGUGGUUUGCCACUCGCACUUAUUACUAUUGGUCGAGCUAUGGCCUACAGAAAGAAAGCGGAGCAGUGGAGACGUGCAAUUGAAGAGUUAAGAAGAUCAGCUUCAGAGUUUGCAGGUUUGGGAAAAGAGGUGUAUCCUCUUUUAAAGUUUAGCUAUGAUAGUUUGCAGAAUGAUACAAUUAGAUCUUGUUUCUUGUAUUGUUGUUUAUAUUCUGAAGAUUAUGGCAUUCUUAAAUGGGACUUGAUUGAUUGUUGGAUUGGUGAGGGAUUUUUGGGGGAAUCUGACAGGUUUGGUGCAGAAAACCAAGGAUAUGACAUUUUGGACACUCUUGUUCGUGCAUGUUUAUUAGAAGAGGUGGAAGAAGAUGAAGUAAAAAUGCAUGACGUUAUUCGUGAUAUGGCUAUAUGGAUAACCAGUGAAAUUGAGAAGGAGAAGAGAAACUUUUUGGUUUGUGCAGGUGCUGGAUUAGAAGAGGCACCGGAUGUUAAAGAAUGGGAAAAUGUGAGAAGAUUGUCAUUGAUGCAAAACCAAAUUGAAACUCUGUUUGGGGUUCCCACAUGCCCUCAUCUCAUCACUUUAUUUAUUGACUUUAAUAGGGAGUUGAAGACUAUCGCGGAUGGCUUCUUCCGAUGUGUGCCUUCUCUCAAAGUUUUGAAGAUGUCAAACUGUGGAAAGCCUUAGAAAGGUUUGGAAUUACCUUUGGGGAUGUCAAAGUUGGGUUCACUACAACUUCUUGAUAUUUCACACACCUGCAUACAAGAAUUACCACAAGAAUUAAAGUUGUUGGUAAAUCUGAAAUGUUUGAAUUUGAGGCGGACAAUUUGGUUAAAUAAAAUUUCAUGGCAACUAAUAUCAAAAUUUUCAAGGUUACGUGUGUUGAGAAUGUUCGCUACUGGCUGGUUCAGUUUUCAUGAAGCACCAGAAGACAGCGUUUUAUUUGGUGGGGGUGAAGUUUUGAUACAGGAAUUGCUCGGUUUGAAAUAUUUAGAGGUAUUGGAGUUGACCUUGGGAAGUUAUCAUGCUCUCCAAAUUCUUUUGAGCUCAAAUAAGUUAAAAAGUUGUAUUCGAUCUCUUUUCCUACAGUUGUUCAGAGAUACAACGUCGAUUAUUGAUGCUACGGCUUUCGCAGAUCUAAACCACCUCAAUCAAUUAUGUAUUAGUAACGGUUCUGAGUUGGAAGAAUUGAAGAUUGAUUAUACGGAGAUAGUACGAAAAAGGCGGGAACCUUUUGUUUUCCGCAGCCUUCAACGUGUUACCAUAGAGGAGUGCCAUAAAUUGAAAGAUUUGACAUUCCUCGUUUUUGCUCCAAACCUCAAGUCUCUUUCGCUAUACGAUUGCGGUGCUAUGGAAGAAAUAAUCAGCGUCGGAAAAUUUGCUGAGACUCCUGAGAUGAUGGGACAUAUAAGCCCUUUUGAAAAUCUCCAAAUGCUUUAUUUAAUGGCAUUGCCGGAGUUGAAGAGCGUCUACUGGAAGCCAUUGCCUUUCACUCAUCUGAAAGAAAUGGAGGUACUUGGGUGUGAUCAGCUUAAAAAGCUUCCACUCGAUUCCAACAGUGCAAAAGAGCGUAAAUUUGUAAUUCUUGGAGACACACAGUGGUGGAACCGUCUUCAAUGGGAGGAUGAAGCCACUCAAAUUGCUUUUCGUUCCUAUUUCCAAACCUGAUUCCUGAGCGGUGGUCGCAAAAUUUGAUUUCUGGUGAGUGCGUUUGUCUUUUAAAAGAAGAAUUUAAAAGAAAUUUAUUCUUGUCGUUUUCUUCUCUGUUUUUAUUUCAGUUUGUUUCUCUCUCUCUCUUUUUGUCUUCUGCAAAUCACAAUUAAAUGUUGAAUUAAUGGAAUUAAUGCUUCAUAAAUUUGCCGGCACUGCCAGUACUUUUUUUUUUUUUUAAUACGAAUUGAUGCUUUAUUUAUUUCUUCUUAGCGAUUUAAUUUCCUGUCAAAAGACGAGCGAGAAGAACAUAUGACUUAAACCAAUUGAUACUUUAUUUAUGUGCAUUGUAUGUAAUAAAAUUUUCUCUGUUUUUUUCAAAUUGAGGCUUUAUUUAUAUUUUCUUCGUGAAGAGUGAUUUAAUUUCCUGCCAAAAGACAAACGAGAAGAACAUUAGAGUCAAACUAAUGCUCACAUAAAUUUCCCGUAAGAAUAUAUAUAUAAUUAGACUGGAAUGCACACCUCUAGAUUGAACAGAAUUAAAGCUGAGAAAAUAUUGAGUAUAGUAGCCCUCUUUACAGAAAAUGACGCGAAAGUUAAUUUAGAAAGAUAUAUUCUUGAUUAAUCCAUUUUCUGAAGUUUUUUAUUUUGUAUGGUCAAUUAUACCUUCAUACUAAAAAAAAAAAAAAAAAAGAGAAAAUAUGUAAUCCAUGAAUGGUUAAUUUUGUUUGUUUGUUUUUUUUUCUUAAAUAUCAUUCUUUUUCGGCCACCCAAGGACAUUUUCACAAAUACCUUUUGUGUGCAGAAGUCUUCCAAACCAUCAAUGGAAAAAUAAAAAAUAAAAAAAACACGGUCCAGUAUACCUCAAAAUAUCAUUGAUGACUUUUCUGGUCUAAUGCUAUGUAAAUAGUAUGUUAAGUAAAACAUAAUCAGUUCAGUACCUCACAAAUAAUUCGCAAUAUCUACAAAAUACUAUAAUGGCUACAAAACAAAUCCUGCUUGCAAAUUGUCAAGGAUACCUAUCCGUUCGCUUGACAAGUCAUUUGAAUAAAUAUUGUUCACAUUCCUUACUCUGUCAAUUAUCCAAAGCACCAUCAACUUUAGUUUGAAUAGUAUACAUGCCAUCACCGUUACCAAGAAUCAAGCAUGGAAGGGUCAUUCUAUAGAGUGCAGAACAUGACUCUAUGCGGUAGUCAAUUUGACACACGACGAACACCAUAUGCUGCAUAACAUACAAAUUAAUUUCCCAUAUGUGAUGCAAUUUUCUCCUCAACAUAUGCGCAAUUCUUUCCAUUCCGGCAUUUACACUCAAAUUUUCCUUCCUUUCUCUUUGUGGUUGAAUCUUACACCACAACUCAUGUGAUGCAAUCUCCUCUCGCUGCCUAAAUUGCACUCUCAGCAAAGCAGCAUAUGUAAGCAAGCUUGAAGAUAAUCUUGCUGCUCUGCAGAAGAACGGCAAAAGUUAAUCGAAGCAAGGAAUGAUGUAUCAGAAAAUAUUUGGUGGAGAAUUCAGCACAAACAUAUUUCGGAUGAUCAGAAUCAAUAAAACCUGGUGGUUGUGCCAUAUAAACAUCUUUGGAAAGCUGACCUUGAAGAAAGGCGUUAUUGAUAUCCAAUUGAUGAAGAGGCCAGCCAUGACUAACAUCAAUACUAAGAACAAGCCGUACUGUGGUGGACUUAACAACUGGACUGAAAGUGUCAUAAUAGUCCACACCAGGCCAUUGAUUGAACCCUUUGGCAACAAGAUGAGCUUUAAACCUGUCAACAGAACCGUUGGAAUGUCUUUUAAUACAAAAAUCCAUUUGCAGCCAACAAUAUUGGAAGGGAUGGGAGGUGGAACAAGCUUCCAUGUCCCGUUACGAACAAGAGCAUCAUACUCUUCUGACAUAGCUGGACGCCAGUGAAGAUUUUUGAUAGCUUGCGUCACAGUUGUAGGUUCACAAUCAGAAGAAGGGCUAAAAUGAGCACGGAGGUUAAGUUUUUGUAACGGCUUGUGAAUCUUAUUUUUAGCUCGGGUAGUCAUAUCAUGAUGACUUGUGGGGCAAUGAUCUAGUGGAGUUUAGGAAGAUGAUUGAACAGGAAGUGAAGAAGUGCUUUGUGUAGAGGUAGAAGUAGGUUGGGAGGAUUGCUGCGGAGAUGUUACCGGUAGAGAAGAAGGAGCAGUACACGGUGGCAACUCCAGAGGGCCCACAAUAGAUGGAGUAGGUGCCGACAAUGGAGUACUAGGAAAUGAAACAGGAAGAAUUGGUGGAACACUUGCAUAAUUAGGAGUGGUAGAUGAGCUUGUAAUGAUUUGCAUGGAAAAACAAACUCUACAAAUUUAACGUGACGUGAAAUAAAAAUUUGAAAGGUGGAUGGGUCAAAACAUAAAUAAGCACUUUGAGAUAAAGGAAUAUCCUAGAAAAACACAAGGCUUAGAGGGUGGUUCGAGUUUAUGUGAUGAAACACAAACAUUCAAAAAAUUUUAAGUUUAUAUUAAUUAGGAGUGGUACCAAAAAUUAAUUAGCUAUGGGGUUGUUGGAUGUGUUUUGGAUAUUUACAGUUAAGUUUGAGUAUCUCAACUUAAAAUUUGUAGUUUUCACUUGAAAAAAUUCAGUUAAAUUUUGCAAUGCAGACUGAUUGAUUUAUCAGUUUAACGUGUGCCAGGAAUGAAGAACUGGAAUAUCACCGUCAAGCAAGCACCCUGUGGAGCAAUACCAAAGAAUGCACAAUCUGGCUUUGCUAGGUAACACUGGAGGCUUUUUGAAAAGUGCUUCACGCUCACUUGCACAGAUUGAGCAUCCCCUCUGGAUAUUGCCCUCUCUGAUCGAGUCUGAGCACUCAAAUUUUGGUCCUCAGAGGGAGCUACAGUUUUCUCUCCACUAACCAACAAUAUUCUAAACUCAGCACCUAGUGUGAUCAGAGUUGUUGAUAUUUGCAAAUGGAGAUCCCCAUAUUUGCAAAUGGAGACAUUUAACAAAUCACCAACAUGCUUCAUCCGGUCCACGAAAUUCUGCAACUGAUGCAAAUCUGGAACCUGAACCAGAGUCGGAGGUAUAUCUUGAGCCAUAUCUAAAGCAGUUUGAAGUUCAAGACCUUGAGCCCUUGACAAUGGUUUUGAAAUUGGAACAUCUUGGAUUACUGCAGACUUGUACCCCUUGGUUUCAAAGGUAAGGAAAGGCAUUGCUUGAGUACAAUUUGGAGGCAGCUUCUUCACCAAUUUUAUUUGGAGGCGAUUGGCAGCGGAUCCAGCUGCACCAAUUUCAGAGCAACUACUGACACUACUUCGAACAGCACACUGAAGAAGUGAUAUGUCUACGGCGAAGGCAAUGCAGUCCUCAUUUUGGCUUGAGACACAGUAAUCAUCGAAGAGAGUUUCCUUGUGAAACUGGGCAACACAUUGAAUCCCUUCGGCACUGAGAAGGUUGUGGAGGAAGUAAGCUUUCUCUCUAGUAAGGAAGAGGUGGCAUACAUUCCCCAUUUUGUCUAGGGCAGGUAGGAAUCUUUUUUCUAAGAGAUUUACUUCAUUCUCUGUGAGAAAUGCUUUGAACUUCAUCCCUCUGUCUCUAUCCUCACUUAUCAGUAAAAUAGUUGAAAGCGCUACAAGGAGAGAAAAGAAGAGUAUUAAGAUAUAUAUAUUAUAUAGACAAGAAAAACAUUAGAUGUCGAUCUUACAAGCUAAUACUUCAAACAAUAUCCUAGAAAGCUAAAAACUGCAAGAUGGCUUGAAAUUUGAAAAGAGCACGUGCUUUUCCUCCUUAACUUGAGAAAAUGUUUAAUAUAGUGCACCUUACAGAAGCAUUUAAGCAAUUAGAACUUUGCACAAAAACAUCAAGAAGACUAAACAAGUCAGAUGCAGUGUAUUUGUCCAAGCACAAAUUGCAUUUUGUCCUCAACUUUAAUAUUUAUUGAUGAGAAUCAAUACAGGUCCCUCAUUUGUUAUAGAAAGCUUUCUUGUAGUCUCACCAGUUAAUAUGGAUAUUAGAUAAGGAAACUUUAUUAGGUUGCGAGGGUAAAAAAGGAAAGAGAUAUCAUUAUUUUAUUAUCGAUAAUUAUUAAAUUUUUUUCCAAAAAAAAGAACAAGCAAGGAUAUUUUAUUGUCAAUUGCAACCUUUAAUUUUUUUAAAUGCUAUUAGAAACACAAGAUAACAAAAAUGUAGUGAGAUGGGAUCUCCUGCAUGCCACUCUGGUUUAGAACACAAAGAAUGUGUCUGCAUAAAUAUCCUCUGAAAUUGAACAACCCACAAACACAAAGCACCUCCAAGUCGGAGGCAUUGUACAAAACAUCAAAAGCCCUUGAAUCCUUCUCGUUGCCACCAACCUCGAAUUCUUCCUUCACUAUGUAUGUUAUAGGUCCAUCAGAACUAAUAUGUUUUGUGCUAUAGUAAGAGUACAUAGCCUCCACCUCCAUCUGAAACUUCCUUAACAUUUCAUUUGUGUACAGUUUUGAGAGUUGAAAUUCAUAGUAACAUCUUGGUUUCCGGAUACAACUUGAAUUUCUUGAAUCCAUAUCUGCCAAGGCUACCAGUUGAUAAUUCGCCUGCAGUGCUUGAUCAUACUUGUCUAAGAAUUCUUUCAAAGGAGUAUUCUUAUCAAGAUAUCCUUCAAAGUAUGAAGUAGAAACCUCAUUCUGCAGGAACGAAAACACUCCUGAUAAAAAAGCUUCCUUCAAAUAAAUAGGAGCCCACCUUUUAUGAUCUUCAUAUAAAGUUUGAAUCCAUCCGUGAUCCUUUAUUCCAUGACAUUGAAUCAUGUCUUCCCAAGCUGCUUCAAAUUUCUCAGGCCUGAGAGAGUGAUAAAUUGCUCUAUGUAAUGCAGCUUUAAUAGCUUCAUAUUCAAACAAUCCUUGGAGUUUCUCUGGAAUUUUUUUGCAUGAUGCAUGACAAUGAAAAGAAAUGAUAAGCUCUUGGGAAAACAUCACCAACAGCAAUUUGCAAGAUUCUACAUUGGUCAGUGAUGAUUGUUUGUGGAGAGCGCCCUAACAUACAUGUAAGCCACGCCGUAAACAACCAUGUAUAUGAUUCUAUGGUCUCACUGGCAAGUAAACCACAACCCAACAACACUGAUUGUCCAUGAUGAUUCACCCCAAUGAAUGAAACCAGUGGUACAUCAUAUCUUUCAGUCAGGCACGUAGUAUCAAUUAAGACCACAUCACCAAAGUACCUAUAUGCAACUCUUGACCUGGUAUCAGUCCAGAAUAGGUUUUUCAAGCAUCCCUUUUCAUUUAGAUCCACUACAUUAAAAAAGUUUGGAUCUGUCAACUGCAAAUGACAAAAGAAACUCUGGACAGCUUGUGCAUCUCCUGGUUUAAGCUUCAAUUGAUUUGAGCUAUUAACAUUAUUUCCAAAUACUCCAUUAACAUCUACCAUUUCCCUUGGUAUCAAUGAUAAGAGUUCGAAACAGUUUAAUUUUUUGAACUUCUUCAGCACUAUCUAAAUGCAAUGUUCUUUUGGUUCCAAUACCUAUGUGCUUAUGUGACUUGUAAAACUUUCCGCUUCUUGGGCUUAACAAGUGGUUAUGCUCAAGCUCGACUUCAAUGAUUCUCCACCUUUUGGUUUCCAUCAACCUAAACUUUAUCAUUGCUGGACAGCCAGUUCUUGUUUCUGGUCUUGGGCGGUUUGCCUCGCUUUUCUUCUUGAAGCCUGCACUACUACAGCUCAGCUUUCCUCUAUACUUUUCUCUACUCUUUCGGUACCAUGGAUUGCUAACUCUAACACCAAAACCCUGUUCCUUGGCAUAGCAAUUGUAAAAGUAAUAUACAUCAUCAUACAUCUCAAACUCCAUUCCAACAGUAGGAGGCAAGGGAUUUUGGAUUAUCCCAGUUUGUCCAACAUAUUCAGUCAUCGCACAAUCUCCUACAACCUCAAAAUCAUCAGUGUCAUCAUCACCUACUGGUUCGGUGUUGAGAGAAACUUCAUCCAUCUACAAUGGAUGUUCAAUGAAGUGAGCUUUAAGGAGAAAAAGCAAAAUCUGUUCAAGGAAUGAUAAUAUAAUCAUACAGUUACUUUCACAAAGCUUCAUAUUUCAUCACUGCUUUACCAACAUGCAACUGCCAGAGAACAAACAGACAUGUCAUAGACGCUUGAAUUAAGUAUUGGUACAAAUGAGCACACAUCAUGUGGGACAAAAUUUCAGUCACUAAACCCAAUACCACUUUUUACAUCAUACCAAGGAACAGAUUAAACCCGACACCUUCUUUUAAACCAUACCAAGGAACAGAUUAAAUCAUCAAUGAAAAAUUAAUCACAUAAUAACUUAACCAGACAAAUGAAGAGCCUGAAACAGCACAAAACUUGAAUCUGAUUAUGAUAAUUGUUGAGUCCUUGUAUCUACAGCUUUCCUUCAAUGAUAAGACAAUGAACAUAAACGAGACACAAAAAAAUUAUUUUAAACUGACAGCCCAUGAUAUAAAUCAAACAAAAUCAACUCCUUUUUUUACACAUUACAUCUCAUAUUCAUUUACAUUGAAACACAAAAAGGAAGCAGGAGUGGGAAAAAAACAACAGCAGAGGAACUUAUUUCCAUAAGGUUUACGAAAUAAGGAAUCUAUUAAAACCCAAAACUUGAGGUCACCACUAAGAAUUUGGUUCUCAUUAUUUUUUUCUUCAUUUUUCACCAAUUGAUGAACUUAAAAUACAAUCAUAAAUGAUAAAACCCCAUCUCCAUCUUUUUGAACUAGAGCUAAAGCAAAGCAUUUUAAGAUGUUUCAUCAUUUUUUUUUUUAAAAAAAACUCAAUAGUACAAUGUUUUUCAAUGCUAAAUGCACAAUUCAAUCUUCUCCUAAUUUACUCUAAUAAUCUCUUAAUUAAGGAAGAUUAAGCUUCAGUUGUAAGCUAAAACAAAUUUCUUAAAUCAAGCCCCAAUGCUUUAUGCUAUUCAACAAGGGCUCAUAAAUGAUAAAACUACUUCUAUAAAGAUACCCAUUUUCUAAAUUAAUUUCACAAACUGAAAUCAAACUCCUGAAACGUAACGAGCAUUAAUAUAAUCAAGCCCGAACAAGAAUUGAAAAAUGAUACAUAAACUCGUUUACACAUUUCGACAGACACUUUGCAAUCAAUGAGCAAAAAAUUAAUGGAGAAGAUAAAAUUCAAACGAAACAUGCCUUACAUUGAUAAAUUAGAAGGGCAAAAGAAAUUUUAGUACGAUAUGCGAUCAGGGUCUUGCCACGGUGAUGUUAUUUGUGAAGUUCGAGCGACUCAGCAGCCUUCGAGGUUGAAAAUUUGAUUGACCAAAAGCUUCCCGUUCGUUGAUUCUCUAAUAGUAGAAACGAGACUGGCAGUAUACACAAGAAGUUCGCCGAUUUUAAAUUCCGUUGUUUGAGAUGGAAAAUUUUUUGAAAAAAUUAAUGUGUUCGAUGAAAAUCAAAAUCUCAAAAACCUCUUGUUUUUCAUUUUUUUGGAAAAAACCAUUGAGAUCCUUACUAUUUUUUCUUAUAUCAUCUUCCUUAAUAAUUUGCAAAGUCUAUCGCAUAGCACCCAUGUAUGAUGUAUGCUGCGUUGUAAUUUACAAAAUUGCACAUGAAUAAAUCCAGCUAAAAUUUGUUAAAAGAAAAUAAUAAUAACAUGUUAAAACUUUAAAAUUUGAUUAUUCGAAGAAAUUUUAAUUUAGUUAAGUAGGUGACAUGAUAAUAAAUAGAUACGUAUAAUGUCCGAGAUUUUUUAUAAGAUUAAUAAAUAUGAUAAAUUUGGAUUAGUUCAAUUUUGACAUAAUUCAUAAUAAACACAGCUUGCUAAUCUAAAUUGCCACCGUUACUCAUCAUCAGGUACCUGUUUGAAAAAUAAUUACAAACAAUUUUAUUUGUGUUGUUUCUCUAAAAGUUUGAGACACAAAUGUUAUUUCAAAUUGAUAAAAGUACGAAAAUUCCCCCUUGCUCUUCAACUAAAAAUGAAACAUGCAAAUAUACACACUAAUUUAGAUGUGUGAAUAACAAAUAUGGAACGACACAUGCAAAGUCAUCUGUAUAAUUGAAACGCCAUGCACUAGUAGUAGGUAAGAGAAACCAAGGUUGAAGUUGCUCCAAUGGUUACUGUUAAUUUAUUUUUAUUUAUGAUUUUUUUUGUAAAAUGUAAGAAAUAUGUAGAAAUGUUGCCAGCAAUGAUUUUGGAACUUUGCAUAAAAUUUUUAUCAUUAUUGUUUUUGGUAUUAAGAAAUCCGAGGCGGUGAUUAGACGUAUGUUGCAACAAUUAAGAAAUUUCUUAUUGGAGAUAAUUUGGUAGGUUUGCAGCAAUUAGAGAAUAAUUUUCCUGCCAGUUAAUCAAUCAAUAAUAAAUUUCAAAUUGCAGAAAAUAAAAUAAUACAGCCUCACUUAGAAUCAUCUUUUCUAUCUCUUUCAAUUGUGGCAAUCAUUUGCAACAAAUAAAUCAAUUUGAUGCACAUCAUUUCCCCAAUUCAAAGUUCAAGUCACUGCUCAAUUACAGAGUAGUUAGUGGACAUGCAUGCAUGUUUAAUUAAGUACUGCAUUGUAGUAUCGAAAAUCAUAACAUCUCACCAAUAUCAGAUUAUUAACCAUGGAAAUCAUAUCACAAUAUCAUAUAGAAUUCACAAAUCUGAAAAUCAUCACCAAACAAGUACCCAGAGAAAUAAUCUCGUCAUAUCCAGACCUCAACGGACGGGCAAUGACGUACUAUUUGGGUAACGUCACACCCUGGAGCUACACGGAUAAAUAGGAAAAUACCAUCUCAUAUCUCAUCAUAUUUGUGCAUGCAUAAUCUAGUCCCCAAGGGACAAAAGCGCCCAAGCACACGGCCCAAAGCCUCUAUGUGUACUCAGACGGGCCCCAAAGGCCUGUAUCUCAUAUGUAUCAUAUGUAUCAUUUGUAUCUCAAUAUCUGUUUGUAUCUCAUUUCCGUAUAUCUAUAAUCAUCAUACCGCAUGCAUAUGCCCCCAAAAGACAAAAGCGCCCAAACACAUGGCCCAAAGCCUUUAUAUGUGUUUAGACGGGUCCCAAAAGCCUCUUAUCUCAUCUUAUCUGUAUCACUGUAUCUGGAGAGAAGGGUACUGUCUAAUGAUUUAAAAAACAAUCAUUAUACUCAUAUUUACAUACCUCUUAAUCAUAUUUGAAAUCAUAUCACAUUUGAAUCCACUUUUCUAAUCUUUAAAAUAUUAUCAUGCUUUAUUCAAAGUCGAUACGCAAAAUCAAUAACCAAACAUUUUAAAUCAAAUUAUUAACCAUGGAAAUCAUAUCACAAUAUCAUAUAGAAUUCACAAAUCUGAAAAUCAUCACCAAAUAAGUACCCAAAGAAAUAAUCUCGUCAUAUCCGGACCUCAACGGACGGGCAAUGACGUACUAUCUGGGUAACGUCACACCUUGGAGCUACACGGAUAAAUAGAGAAAUACCAUCUCAUAUCUCAUCAUAUCUGUGCAUGCAUAAUCUAGUCCCCAAGGGACAAAAGCGCCCAAGCACACAGCCCAAAGCCUCUAUGUGUACUCAGACGGGCUCCAAAGGCCUGUAUCUCAUAUGUAUCAUAUGUAUCAUUUGUAUCUCAAUAUCUGUCUGUAUCUCAUAUCCGUAUAUCUAUAAUCAUCAUACCGCAUGCAUAUGCCCCCAAAAGACAAAAGCGCCCAAACACAUGGCCCAAAGCCUUUAUAUGUGUUCAGACGGACCCCAAAAGCCUCUCAUCUCAUCUUAUCUGUAUCACUGUAUCUGGAGGGAAGGGUACUGUCUAAUGAUUUAAAAAAUAAUCAUUAUACUCAUAUUUACAUACCUCUUAUCAUAUUUGAAAUCAUAUCACAUUUGAAUCCACUUUUCUAAUCUUUAAAAUAUUAUCAUGCUUUAUUCAAAGUCGAUACGCAAAAUCAAUAACCAAACAUUUUAAUAAAAUACCAAUGCAUAAAUAAAAUUCAUUUCGAGAAAUCAUUAAAUCAGAACAUUUAAAAUACUUAUUUCGCAAACAUGCUUUACUAUCAUCGCUAACUAUGAAAAUAAGUUUUGUAUAUUCCACUUUCAGUGAUGGUGUUCACGGUCGGUUAUCGUCCAUAUCUGCAGACCGAUUCUCGCUCGCGAAUCCUCCUAAAUCAAGGAAACGACAUAAUUAUUUUUUGUAAAUCGGAAUUAUGACUAAAUUUUAUGCAAUAAACUCAAAACGAACAUCUAUUCAUAAUUGACAACUCCUAUAUCCAUAAAAUUACUAAAAUAUCCUUGAGUCCGUAGAUCAUUAACAUGCUCCGAAAUCGUAAAUCACUGAAUUACCCUCGGAAUCGUAAUUACACCCGAUCCUCAAUUAUAGGAAUUACUAACAGAUCCACAGGCUUAGAAAUUACAAAAUUGCCCUCGUAGUGUGAAAUUACCAAAAGCCGGAAGUUGGUCAACAAUGGCUAGGAAGCUCAAAUCGUAAAGUUCCAAUCACGCUGAGUUCAAUGGUACCGGCGGUGAGCUCCAACGCGCGACAACGAUGCCAGAAUCUAGCUCGGCAGCCGUGAAUUCCACCAAUCGACCGGCGGCACAACAGUGACUCUCGGUGCCUAUGGAUGGUCGAAAAUGGAAGAGGGAGCCGUGGGGAACAAAAUCCAACCGGUGGUGUCACCAAAACCGGUGAAAAUCCCGGCGGAGCAAAGUGAAACAGUCGCGGGUUUCAUGCUUCGAUCGCCGGUGUUCCGAUUGGUUUUUGGCGAGGAGGAUGGCAAGGGAACGACAGCCGGCUUCUAAGCUUCAGAUUGGUACCAAGCUCGGCCGAAACGAUGGCCGGAAAUGGGAGAUAUGACCGGGUCAAGGUCGCGGGUUCCGGGUCGGGUUUUUUGGUCUGUAGUUGGGUCGGUUUGGUAGCUUCUCUCUCACUCUCUGUUACACGUGCAUAUGUUUCCUCUGUUUCCAGCUUAUUCUUUUGCUUUUACUAACUUCUUAACCGCCUCAUACUUAUUCAUUUUUAAUUCACAUAUGUUACAAUAAUUCCCGAGUAUUAAAUAACCAGUGGUCAUAAUUUUUGUACAAGAUUCUUUUUUUUUUUUGGAGAUCGUUAAAAGUGGUUGACGAUCCAUUUCGUAAUAUCAUAGAGGGAUCAUCAAUUCCUUUUCUUUUCUGUGGCUAGGCAACACUUUUUGGCCAAAGUAAGGAAAUCUAUUUUAGGUAAUGUAAAAACCAGUUGUAGGAUGUAAUAGUUUAUUAUGCACUGACAAUAACUUUUUGUAUAAUUGUCAGUUUAAUGAAUGCAAGAGGAACUCUGUUGGCAAAUUCAUCCAAGAUAGAUGCUAAAAUUAUUUAUGCAUGCCAGUUGCCUUAACUAAGUUUUCUCAGCACUGGUUUUGAACAGGAAAAUGAAUAUGCAAUUUGUAUAUUGUGCCAUAGUGGAGAAUUUGGAUAUUCUUAUUUAAGUAACAAGGAGAUUAUUUGCCUCAUCUUUAAACAAUGAAUCUUUGAGAGAUGAGGAGUGGGUGAUUGGAUGUGUCUUCAUGUAAUUGUUCAUUUAUUUGUAUUUUGAACUGUUAUGAAAAUCUUUAUAUGCCAAAUUAGUAAUACAAGUAUUCAGAUGAUUUUUCCUAUUGAUCAUGCAUUUGUAUCUGCCCACAACCAUUGUAUAUCACUUUAUUCUGAUGCGCAAGCAUCUGUAAUUUAGAAGAAAAGAAAUAAUAAUCAUAUUUUAUUGCUUGGUUCAUGAUUAUUAACGAUUAUGGCUUUAAAAAUCUACAAAUUUCUUGUGUUCAUGUAUGAAUGUGCCAAGUUUGCUGUAUCUUAGAUUACCUUCUUCCAAGGUAACAAGUUCAUAUAUAUAUAUUUUUUAAAUCAUUUUCCAUUACAGUUGAAUUUCAAGUGUUAGUUUUGUUAUUAGUACCUGGUUUCCUGUUAUAAGGAUCUAAUAAACAGUGUACGGAUAUGUGCUCUACUUUUGGAGGGCUUCCACGUGAAAGAAAAUUACAACAAUUGAAUUCUUCCGGAGGAUAUGGUAAUUAAUUUAUUUUCUCAACUUCUUGUAAGACUAAUAUAUUUCCUUCAGUAGGCACAGCAUGGUGGGAAGGGUUUUUAUUGAAAGAAUUCUGAUAUUUCUUAGACUUUGUUUUGGAAGGGGGUGGAGGAAUUUCUCAUCCAUAUAUGGUUACUUGAUUAGCUUUUGACUGUAUUGUCUCUGUCGUGCAAAGGAAAAUCUAAAUACUAACGAUGGGGAAUUGCUUAGGCACCCAAAAGGCAGAAAUGAAUUACAGAAGGAAGUUUUUGCUGCUUUAUUUAGUGCUGCUGAGAAAUCUGAUGAAUUUCCUGAAAUUACGGUGAAGACCGAGUGGAGGUCCAAAGCAUUAGGAAAGGUGGUGAGUGAACUGCCGGAGGAAUUUGUACCAAAAUACAAGGCUAAUGUGGUGCACUUGCAGCAAGAUAACCAGACCGGUAUGUGCUCUUAUAUUAACUAUAUUGACUGGAUUUGUGAGUGUGUGCAUUUUUUUGUGUAUACUCACUUUUGUAUUUAUGCAUAUUAACAUGUGUAGGAUUCUUGAUUUCUGCCACUUACUGGAGAACUAGUGGAAAGCUUUAUAUUGAUAUAUCUGCAAUAACUAAUGGAAACUAUGAUAUGAAUAUUUUCUCUCACCUGGGGAGCUGUGUAACAGAUAUACUUUGUGGCUCUGGAAUGCUGAAGAUUCUGCAAUAACUAAUGGAAAAUAUGAUAUGAAUAUUUUGUCUCACCUGGAGAACUUUGUUACAGAUACCCUUUGUGGCUCUGGAAUGUCUAAAGAAUGCUUUAGUUAGAUCAAAUAUCUUUUAGUUAGAAAAGAUAAAAUUCUCUGAGUCUGAAAGACUGAAACAUUUUGCAUAUUUUGUGAAAGGGAAAUAUCUGUUGAUACUAGCUCAUGCAUUGAGGUAAUAUCGAUGUUAAAGAAAAACAGCAAUGAUUUAUGAUAUAGAAUUGGGUUCACUUGCUUCAAAUGCUGGUCUGAUCAACCAUAUCAACCUGUAAUGAUUCUGCAGAAAUAUAUAUACAUGGAGAAAGUAGCUAAAUUUUUCUUUCAUUUAUGGGUUCGGUCUUUUUUCCCCUUAUUUUUCAGCUUUCCUUCUCCUGAAGUAUGUUAACAAUUGCAGAUAAUGAUGAAGACGACAGCUUCCGGGCUCUCCUUAGAGCCGUGAUGGAAUAUAGGGGCACAAUGAAGGAAUAUUGUAAAGCUGUAGGUACUUUUUCUCCUUUCAUUUAUGUUUUCUCACACAUUUUGUAUAUGCCCUGAACAUGCACCUUUGUAUGUAUCAAUUGACUUUUAAAUUUUAAAAGCCAUAAAGUAAGAAUACGGUUCCUUGUCAGGCUACUGAUGACAUUCGCUCAGGGGGAUCAUGUUCGAGCAGGAAAAUUUCUAGAACAGGUAAGGUUUCCAUCUACAGCCAUCCAUUGACAGCAGAUACAUUUUCAUUCAGCAGACUCUGUUAGCAUUCAAGAUGCUGGCAGAUUCACUUGAUUCUUAUUAGCUUGUUUAGUGGCAAAGCCUAUAACCUGUAUUUCAAAGCCAAGUUGUGCUAUUGAUUAUGUUAACUUUUUUGUUAACAUAAAAUGAUAUGGAGGAAAUAAUCAGUGUUGGAAAAUUAGGUGAAAAGAUGAUGUCAAAUCUUGAACCUCUUACGAAACUCUAAGUUCUUUACUUGAAGAGGCUACGAAAUUUGAACAGCGUCUACUCGAAGGCCUUGCCAUUCCCUGAUGCAUGCAGAAUUUUUGUAUUUAAAUGCCCAGAGCUUAAGAAGCUGCCACUGGAUCUUGAAGGGGCAGACCAAGGUAAAAAUCUUAUCAAGGGAAAGGAAGAUUGGUGGAAACAACUUAAUGGGAGGAUCAAGUAACUCAGAAUGCAUUGCUUCCAUUUUUUAAAUUGACUGACAAGUGAUUGAACGGGGCAUCAUCAACAUCAUCAACAGGGAUGGAGAGAUACCGGAGCAGAUCAGCAGGGUUUGAAUAUGACCUUUGGCGGUUGCUUUUUUUUUGUGAUUUUUUUUUCAUUUUUUCCUUCCUGUCAUUUUAUCAUUUCUUUCUCUGUUUCUAUUGCGGGUGUUACUGCAUGCUUACUGUUGCUUGACAAAGUUUGCUAGCUUUUUGUUUGCAGUGUUGCUAUACACUCCGAGUCAAGCCUCGAAAAUUUAUUAAACGAAGCCGUUUCGACAGUAACAAUUCUUUUCUUUUCCCUUUGCAUGUCUCUUUCAUCUGCUGUUUCUCUAUCACUUUUCAUUUUUGAUUUCCUUGCUUCUCAGCUGCCCCUAAAUUGUUAUUCUAGCAAUAUACUUUCUCAUCUUUGAAUUUUCAUCCUUGAGUACUCCCACAGCCGUAAUUUCAUCAUCAUAGACUUCACUUGGAAUGCUGUAUUUUUUCGAUUCUUGAGCUACUUCAAUUACAUCUUAGUAUAGGAUCCUCAUCUUCCUUUAUUUCUUCAUCUUAUGAGGUAAUAAAUGGAUUUCACAACUCAUCUACUUUUAAGCAAUUACAUAUUAUACCUUGAAUGAUUCAACUGUUCUGACAGUUAAAGAUUUUAUGCUCAACCUGCAGUGCUACGAACAUUGUCCAUGAAAGAUGAGUUUCAGCAUAUAAAAUGAAAUAUAGAUGUUUAAUCUAAAAUAACCCUUCACUGCCAGAAACCUAGGUCACAAAAUUCACAGAUAAUGAUAAAGAGCUAAAAAAUUUGAAAAACUCUACAGAUCACACAUCAAGCAAGAUAUCAUGUUUUUUUCCCUCAUUCAGUGGUGAUUGAUUCGCUUUUUGAUGAUGGAUAUGGUAUAAAAGUGUUGACCCAAUUUCAAGCAAACACAAAUAGAAACACAAACACAAUCGGGACUAGAGUUGUGGGCGAUUAUCUUAGGUGUACAAGUGAAACGGUGGUGGCUGUCGAUGGUGGUAGUGGGGUGGUUGGGUAUGCGUGAUGGCUAGAUUUUAGGACAAUAAUGAUUGGAGUUGACCUCAAUCAACGAAGGAAAGUGACAACAAUUUUGACAUCAAACGGUGCAUUUUUUAGCUUAGUAAAAUGGAGCCGUUUCGAUUUUGGGGUUUAAUCCGGGGUUUGACUCGGUGCAAGUAUCAUUUUCCUUUUGUUUAUUAAAUUUUUUUAUGGUCACAAAGUAUCACUCGUUCUAUUUGAGAGUCAUGUGAAUCAAUUUUUCAAAUUUUCAAUUUUAAAUUUUGUGGUCAAUGUGAAUUCAAUUUCAUUUGUCUCCUGCAAUUAUGAAAAAAUUAAAUAGUCAUAAUAUGGAAAAAUACACCGGUAAAAACUUUGUAAAAGCUUCGGAGUGAUACGGGGAAUUCACUUACUACUAAGGACAAUUGGUGGCAAGCUAUUCCAUUCAUUUUAUGUCCAUCCAUCUAUUUAGUUAUUGAAGAUAAGUGGUCCAUUUGUAAAUUUCAGAUUGUCUCUCUCUCCCUCUUGAAAUAACAAUAUUUAAUAUAUCUCAUAAAUUAUUAUAAAUUUUAAUUUACUCUCGAUUUAAAAUGGAGCAUGUCGAUAAAUUUUUUUUCUUCUUAAUAAAAUUGACGUAAGUUGUGUUUACAGUAGUUUGAAGUUUGAAAUAUUUUAAAGAUUAUUAUUCUAUAAGGGAGUAAUAUGAAAUGAUAUUUACUUUUCAUGUGUGAAAUGAAAAAGGACGAAGCAAGUGUCCCUGCUUUUAUUUUAUUUCAAGGAGGAGUCAUCUCACAUACUUUAGCUCUUAACAUUACAUUUUUUCUGGUUACAUUUUUUAUUUAUUUAUUUUUUUUUUUUUACACAUGCGUGUGGGUUGCUUUUCUGUAAGCUCCUUAAUAUAUAUUUAAGACAAAUCAUGGAAGAGAUGGGAUUAUAUCAAGAUGAUCAAAGAAUGUUAAAAAAGAAAAAAGAAAAAAAAAAGAAGUAAGACACUGAAAAUGGAGAAGAGAUGGAAGCAAAAGAUAUUCCAAAACAAAGCAAUCUAUCCCCUUUCGAGGGCAGACUUAUCAGGUUUAAAAAAGUACACGCUUUGGAUUGGUAGUUGCAAUCAAGGGAAAAUAAAUAGGAUCCAAUGAAAUUUAAAUCUCGGAGAAAAUAAAUAAUCAUGCAGAUUUUCAAGAUUUUAAUAAGGGAUACUAAUAUCUUAUUUUGAUUAAUAAUAUCCUUUCAUUGUGUUAACUCAAAAAAUAUAUAUUUUAAUGUUUUGCAAUAAACAGAAACGUACUAUUAAAAUGAAUAUAUAAAGAAUUUAGAAAAUUUUGAAUGUUAUAUAAAAUAAUUUUAAGAUAAUGCGUGAGAUAUAUUUUAUUAAUUUAAAAUGUUAUUUUACCUAAAAAAUAUGAUAAAUUAAUAAUUACAUAUUUGAAGUUAUUUUAAAUAUUAAAAAAAUUUAAUAUUAUUAAUCUUUUAGAUAGAUUAAAUUAUUUUUUAUAAGAGAUAGAUUAAAUUAUUUUAAAAUACGUUAAUUGUUUUUACUUUUAACGUUACCGGCCUUUCUUUUAUUUUAUUGCAAAUUAAUGCUAACAAGAAAAAGCUAGAUCAUAUUCCACAAAAGCAAAAGUGACAAACACAACCAGCUGGAAUCUUUUAAUUACUAUUCAAUAAUUCGAGACGAUUAGGGUCUUUUAUUAAACUACAAAUUGUAUAGUCUUUUUAAAAUUGUUAUAAAUUGGUGGCACCUACAAUCCUCAAUAAUUGUACCGAUAUUCACAAGUUGGUGGCCCCUACAAUUCUGUUCGGAUAAUUUAACUGUGCAAGUGCUCAUUCACAAUAAUUGUUUUGUUUUUUUUUUCUGCAUUCCCUUUCAUGCUCUUAAUAAUUGAAGAGCAUACUUUUCAUUUUCAAAUGUGGAGCCGCAGCUAAUGUCGCUAAUUUAAUUUGGGAUUAAAUUAGGGGACCAUUAUAUUGCAGUGUGCACUAAUUUUUGUGUUUAUCUAAACUCCUUAAAUUUAAGACAUAUUAUGGCAUAAAUAAGAAUAUAACAAUAGCAAAAGAGUUAAAAAGUGUAGAGAAGAUCUUGCAGAAAUAUAAAUAAUAUCUAUUUUAAAAUAAUAUCAAUAUUUAAAAUAAUUUUUAAUAUUUUAUGAUUCAUUAGAUAUAUUUUAUUAUAUUAAAGUAAAUUUUAUAAUAAAUAAAAACAUACUAUUAAAAUGAAUAUAUAGAAAAUUUAGAGUAUUUUAAGUAUUAUAUAAAAUAAUUUUAAUAAAAUAUGUGAGAUAUUCAUAUUUUAUUAAUUUAAAAUACCAUUUAACCUAAAGAUUUAUUUAUGAUAAAUUAAUAAUUAUAUUUUUGAAGUUACUUCAAAUAUUAAAAAUAUUAAUAUUACUAAUCUAUUAGAUAGAUUAAAUUAUAUAUAUUAUUUUCUAUUUAUUAAAAAAUUUAAAAUUAUUUUUAAUUACUAUUCAAAAAAUAUAAUGAUAAAAAAGAAUCUUAACAUCUUUAUUAAAAAUUUAAAAAUUUACAUGAUCAAUUCUCUAAAUAUUUAGGGUUAUAUGUGAACAACGGUGGAGAAGCUUUAUUUAAUAUUAUUGAUUUAAAUAAUAUGUCAAUUAAAAAUGUACAGAGAAGGAAAUUUCGGUGGGUAUUUUAGUCUUUUCAGCAAUUAUCAUGAUCAGAUCAGCCUUUAGCCUUGAAUCGUCGGUCAGAAAAGUUUUAAAAUUAACGCUAACAAGAAAAAGCUAGGUCAUAUUCCACAAAAGCAAAACUGACAAAACAACCAGCUGGUUUCUUUUACUAAACUACAAAUUAAAAGUGGAUUCUUUUGAAUGCAAGUGGGACAGACGAUUAGGCUCUUUUUAUUAAAGGCAAGUAAAAACUAGUCGAAUAGUCUUUUUCAAAUUGUUGUUUUAUUAUUUUUCCUUCAAAAGUUAGUGUGGCUCAUGUUUGCAGGUGCGAAUGUGGGUCCCGAAUCAUUACUAAAAUUUCUAUUCCACAGCCCACCGCAGCUUCAGUUAAUCAAACUCAAAUCAAUUUUCUUUCUUAACAAAAUAUUCCAAAGAUGUGUAGCAUUUUUCAGAUCACAUGCGAUGGUGCUCUUUUCAAUCGUUGCUUGGAUUGCUUUCUUGGAAAAGCAGCAUACAUACGUAACCUCCAAGAUAAUGUUGAUACCUUGGGCACUGAAUUGGGAAAUCUGAUCGCUAGAAAGAACGAUCUGAUGAGGAGGGUUGUCGAUGCUGAACGGCAACAAAUGAGAAGGCUGGACGGAGUGCAAGUGUGGGUUUCGAGGGUGGAUUCUGUUAAAACUGAAGCUGAUCAAUUUAUAAGAGACGGCUCUCGAGAAAUUGAAAAAUUAUGUGUUGGAGGCUACUGUUCCAAGAAUUGCAUGUCAAGCUACAAGUUCGGGAAAAAAGUGGCUAAAAAGCUACGGGAUGUGCGGACUUUAAUCAGUGAAGGAGUUUUUGAGGUGGUGGCUGACAGAGCUCCAGAGUCUGUAGCAGAUGAAAGACCUACUGAGCGAACAGUAGUAGGCUUGCAAUCACAACUUGAACAAGUCUGGAGAUGUCUUGUAGAAGAAUCAGCGGGAAUCAUUGGCCUAUAUGGUAUGGGCGGUGUUGGUAAAACUACACUACUGACCCAUAUCAACAAUAAAUUUCUCGAGAGUCCAACCAACUUUGAUUGUGCGAUUUGGGUUGUAGUUUCAAAAGACCUGCGACUCGAAAAAAUUCAAGAAGAUAUUGGGAAAAAGAUAGGUUUGGUUGGUGAUUCAUGGAAGAGUAAAAGUGUAGAGGAGAAAGCUGUCGACAUCUUCCGGAGUUUAAGAGAGAAGAGAUUUGUAUUGUUGUUAGAUGAUAUAUGGGAGCGGGUUGAUUUAACAAAGGUGGGCAUUCCACUUCCCGGACCAAAAAAUACUACCUCAAAAGUCGUAUUCACAACCCGUUUCAUCGAUGUUUGUGGUAGCAUGGAAGUUGACAGGAAGUUUCAAGUAGCAUGCUUAUCAGAAAAGGAUGCUUGGGAACUGUUUCGAGAAAAAGUUGGGGAGGAAACUCUUCAGAGUCAUCAUGAUAUCGAUGAGCUAGCCCAAAUUGUGGUCAAAGAGUGUGGUGGUUUGCCACUCGCACUUAUUACUAUUGGUCGAGCUAUGGCCUACAGAAAGAAAGCGGAGCAGUGGAGACGUGCAAUUGAAGAGUUAAGGAGAUCAGCUUCAGAGUUUGCAGGUUUGGGAAAAGAGGUUUAUCCUCUUUUAAAAUUCAGCUAUGAUAGUUUGCAGAAUGAUACGGUUAGAUCUUGUUUCUUGUACUGUUGUUUAUAUCCUGAAGAUUAUGGCAUUCUUAAAUGGGACUUGAUUGAUUGUUGGUUUGGCGAGGGAUUUUUUGGGGAAUCUGACAGGUCUGGUGCAGAAAACCAAGGAUAUGACAUUUUGGACACUCUUGUUCGUGCGUGUUUAUUAGAAGAGGUGGAAGAUGAUGAAGUAAAAAUGCAUGACGUUAUUCGUGAUAUGGCUAUAUGGAUAACUUGUGAAAUUGAGAAGGAGAAGAGAAACUUUUUGGUUCGUGCAGGUGCUGGAUUAAAAGAUGCACCGGGUGUUAAAGGAUGGGAAAAUGUGAGAAGAUUGUCAUUGAUGCAAAACCAAAUUGAAACUCUGGCAGAGGUUCCCACAUGCCCUCAUCUCCAUACUCUAUUUCUUGACUUUAAUAGGGGGUUGGAUAUGAUCGCGGAUGGCUUCUUUCAAUUUAUGCCUUCUCUCAAAGUUUUGAAGAUGUCAAACUGUUCGAAUUUGAAAUUACCUGUUGGGAUGUCAGAGUUGGGUUCAUCACUAGAACUUCUUGAUAUUUCAGAAAACAGCACAAGAGAGUUACCGGAAGAGUUA
rnacentral:lncRNA from 1 species